rnacentral:lncRNA from 1 species
UGAACAAAGCAGUCAUGGAAGUGAAGCCUGACGAGACUAGCGAGCAUGCGAGUAUCUGUCUUGGAAACAUUUCUUAUGACUUCACGAACAAUGGAACUAACAUUUGGGCAAGUGUUUUUGUAAAAGGAUGGAUCGAGUUGUGCAUUUGAGGAGAAAGGUAAGACUCCAAAGAGAAGUAGAAGAGUGAACAAAGAGGUUGUUGCAAGAGAGUUCAUUGUUGUGGUUGUUGUUGUGAGAUGAAAGUGUGGGUAAAGUUAAGAUUUAUUUAUAGAUAGAUAAUGAUAUGAUGAAUAGGGAAGGCUCGUGGUUGCAAUGAAUGGUCAAGAAACAUUGUCUAAGGUGAAAAUAUUGACCGAAUAAAACAAAGGUCGAUAUAGGAGUACUAGAAAGAGGCUGUCGUGCUACUUUUAUCAGGGAAGGGACCCCAUAAAAGGCAACUUGAAUCAUGUUGAGAGCAUUGUCAUUCAAUGAAAUUCAUUGUAUUUUAACCAAAAUAAAUGGUUCUGCUCAACUGAGGCAAGUGGGUGGCACGGAUUUGUUCAAAAUAUAGGAGUUUUCCUUCUUUUAAACAACAAGGAAUAGAAGAUCCGUGUGUCCGCACGAGUAUGAGAAAAGUAUGAGAUAUAGUAUCAAAUAAAUAUUUUAAAAAUCAGAGUGAAUCCGUCGGUUCAAUCGGGAACUGAAGAUGAAUCUGAUUGGGUCAAUCUUUCAAAACUGUUAGUGAUUAAAAUCAAUAAAACUAGAAAAAUCGAAUUAAACAAUCUAAAACCAUUCGAACAAAAGAAUCGGAGUCAAUUUUGUAAAACCGUCCGAUUAAAAAAAAUGCCUCAAAUUAACCAUUUUUUUUUAUUUUUAAAAUUUUAAUAUGUCAAUAUUGAAACUUAACCUACAUUCCUCAAUCACAAAAAAAAAAAGAUUCCAUAUUUUUCUACAAUCAUACAAAUUUCUAAAUUUUGUCACACAAUUAUAGUUUUUAUUUCAAUCAUACUCCAUCAUCAUCACGCCGUCUAUUUUAAAUAUAAUGAUAUCCAAUAUAAUAUUGAUUAUCGUUCAAGUCAAUAUUACUUGUUGUUGUCAAUUAAGACUUGUUUGUCGUAGUUCAACUCAAAUUCAUUUUUUUUUAAUGAAGUAUAAUAUAUUAUUUAUUUUUAGUAUUCUAUCUUAUUUAAUUUAUGUAUUUUUAAUUAUAUGAACUUUAUUUUGGUUAUUAUAUUCUAUUAUUUUUAUAUUGAUUUUAUUUAGUUUAACUUAUUUUAUUAUAAUUCUUUAAUUUGAUCAAAUUAUUCUUAAAUAAAAGUCAAAAAAUGAAAGUUGAAAUGAAAUAUAAAACUAUAUUAUGUUAUUAUAUGUAUUAUCGAUAUUGUUGUAUUAACUUUGUAAUAGAUUUUUGAAAUAUUUAUUUUAUUAAGUUUUGAAACGUAUGAUUAGUGUGACAUAUUUAUGAAAUUUAGUUUUAUAUUAUUAGUUUAUUUAAUAAAAGGUUCGACCAUAGGUUUAACCAAUUUAAUCAAUUAAACCUUAAAUUGUAAGUUUCACCGGUUCGAUCUCCGGUCCGAUUUUUAAAACAUUAUAUCAAAAUAAUAUUGAUAGUUGAGUUAUAUUCAAACGCACAUUAAAAACUAUUUAUGCAUUUUUGUUUGUUUGGAUAUAACUGAUUGUAUCUCGUAUAACUUUAUGAAAUAUUUCAAUCACAUUUUAAACAUUACAAUGAAAAGAUUAAAAUAGAUAAUAAUCAAGAUUUUAGAUUUAUUAUUUUUGAGAGCGAUAUUUGUGCAUGUUUUCUUAUUUGAAUCUAAUUUGUUGUGUUAUGUGUCACUUCAUAAAUAUUUUAUAUACGUGAAAAAAAUGGAAUCCAACUAAUUAUCUUUGGUGUUAUACCAUUAAAAUAAAAUCUAUAUAAGCAAUAUACAUGCUUGUUUUCUUGACGGAAUUUAAUGGGGUUGUGUCCCUUGCAAAUUUAUAAACUAUUCCAAUAAGAUUUUGAAGAUAAAAUGUUAUAUAAAAAUUAUAUAUAAGUAACUGGAAAAAAAUUUAAAUUAUAUAAAAAUUAUACUAAAGAAUAAACACCUUAAACAAUUUCUCUACACAAGAAAUAUUUCAGUCAACCAUAAAAACCAAAAGUUUUCAGAAUCAAACUAAUAAAAAAUAUAUCCAAAUCAAAAGUUAUGAUCUACUAUAAAACCUGUAAGAUAAAAUAGUAUUAGUUUAGAUCAUUGUGAUUCAUUUUUAUCUAAAACUUCAAUUUGAGGAUGUAACAUAUUUAAGAAACUCACUCUAACGGGUUGAUUGGAACAAACCUUAGCUGAUUCAUCUUCUGUAUCAUCCUCCAACAAAAUCAAUUUAACCAUAUCAAUGAUAUCUUCAAAUUCUAGGACAUUAAAUCACCAAAUUUUACACUUAUUUAUAUUAAUAACACUUAAAUAUUAAUAACACCUAAAUUUUUAUAGUUAUAUAAUAUUUUAAUUUGAAAAGCAUGACAUAAAGUUGGAACCAUCAUGCAUUUUUAAAGUGGAAAAUCAUAUUAAAAUUCUUAGAAGUACCAGAAAUAUUAGUAUACAGUAUUGUUGGUCUAUAUAAUAUUAGUAUACAGUAUUGUUGGUCUAUAUAAGUUAUAUGUCUAUCAUUAACCUUCAUAAUGGUCAUUGUUGGUCCAUAGAAGUUAUAAAAAAUUCCAGAAAAAAUGAAACACUAAAAUAUCCUAUAAUUUCAAGCUACAAAUAUAAUUAUCAUAAUUCAUAUCAUCAAUAGCCACAAUACGGGUGAAUCAUAUAGCAUGUCUUAAAUAUAUAUAGUAACAUUGUACAAUGAAUAAAACUAUGUUUUGAAAGUAAAUUUAUCGGUCAAAUCAAAGUUGUAGUGUAUUUUUGUGUAUCUCCCAAACUGAUACAUAAAUAAUAUUUUACCAUGUUAAAUCACAUCUUAAUAAAAAAUUGCAUGCUUUUAAAGCUUAAACCUUAAAUAUUGUUUGAAAAAAAUAUGAAAAGUUGAUUGACUAUUUAAUAAAAGUAAUAACUUAAUAAUCGAAAGAGUUAAUAUUCAUAGUUAGAUGAAUUGAACUAAAGUAAUGGUACUUGACAUGGAACUAACUAACUUUACAAAACAUGACAUUUCAUUCAGUACCAAGUAACAUUACCAAUGCUCAAAAUGAUUCAAUAUGCAUACUUUCUGCGAAAAAUUACAAUAGCAGCAUUAAACAAAUAUGUAUAACAUACUGCAUUGUGGCUAAUGACGAUGACAUUACAUGUUAGCUAAAAUCUCGAAACCUAUAUGAUAGUUAGACAAUAUGUAUUCAUUUUGCAAUUAUCUAUAAAUUUGAACAUUGGUAAAAGCUAAAUAUCUAUUCCAUAUAGCCAUAUCCAGCUCCAGCUGUGAAGUACUGUCACAUCUAGUAGGUAGUAAUAAAGAAUCACCUAGAAAUAUAUGAUGCCAUGUAAUCCCUGAAAUUUGUACCUCAGUUUCCGACUAAGUACAAGCGAUGUGCUCAAUGAGGUAUCAUCUACCACAUGCCCAUAUUAAUCUGUACUCCAUGAAAUAUCACUUGAGGACUGCAUAUUCAAAUCAUCCACCUCACAAAGUACUUUAGUAAACCAUCGAUUGAAGCUAUCAACCUUCCUCAACACAUGUGACAACUUUUCCUUGUUUGUAUCUGGAAGACUGAUCUGGAAAUAAGCAACCAAAGACAUCUUAUUAAAGCUUAAAAGUUUAAUCAUUGUUUAACAAACCAAUUAAAUGUAUUUUGUUUUGUUCUUAAAAUUAUACCAGCACCUUCUCUUUAUUACAAAGGAAAAUAAAAAUAACAUUAAUCUAACACAAUCACACGAUAUAAGCACCCCAACACAUAUCAAACGUCUCAUCGAUGCUGAUAUAAGUUAAAUCCAUAUAUAUUGACAAAACCAGAAACAUAGACUGUCAUUAAAAACAAAACAAAAACACCUGUCUCAUAACUAUUUUAGUUCAAGGAAUAUGUAUUAGUUAUUUCUUCUACAAGCAUAGUAAGUACAAUGAAUAUGACAAUUUGCAUACCAGGGAAGGAUGAACUCUUGAAAACACUAUAAGACCAGCUUCAGAGGGUUUCAAUCCAUUGCCAAGAAGCACAAACUUUCCAGAAAGUUCAUCAUUUAACAUUCUCAAAGGAUUCAUCCAGAGCCACAGGAAAGGACUUUGCAAAUGCUACCCACUUCAACACCUAAAAAUGAAGAAUAUACCACUCCGAAUUAUUAAUAGAUUAAGUGCAAAACAAAUAGAUUCUAUCGAGCAUAUAUUCUGAAAUUAGCAUUCGAUAUUAAUGUUGAAAACCCAUGAUCAAUUUCACAUGGAUCAACAUCACUUAACUGCAUGCAGGAGCAUACAACCAAUCCAGUGAAAGAACGAAAAGUAAAAUAACAAAGAUACAAUUACCUCAUCAUAAUGGUUAACCUCAGUGUCCAGAUGUCGCAGUGAUGCUUAAGUAAAGAGACUUAAUAUCGACAUCUAAACUAUCAGCUGGAAUAACACUCUACAAACAAUGGUAGAAACAUAUGUGUAUCACAUUCAAGUUGAAAGAACCAAUCUAAUAUUAUACUAUCUAUCAAUAUUUCAUGAAGAAUAUUUCAAAUUUCAAGAAGAAAACUAAUAUUUUAAAGUCCUCUGAAAUUAAUUCGUGACUCAAGUUUAUAUCUAAGAAAAAACUAUCGUUACAAAUAAUAAUGAUAAAUAAUACUAAAACACAGUUGAAUGCAAUACGGCAUGAGGUUGAAAAUCGCAUAAUAGGGCAAAGCAUGCACUUAUAGGAUCUAAUGAAAAGUGCUUGGACAGAGCCAGUGAUAUCCUUAUGGUAAAUGUAUACUCACAAUUCUUUUUUAUAUUCCUGUCUCAAUGAAGUAAAUGUAGAUGCAUCAGCAAUCUAGUAGAAGCAUGAAUUACCAUCACUUACGGUUAACUCAUGUUGGAUUCGCCGUGGAUGUUUCGUAAGGUUUUCAAAUCUUCAUGUUCCAUGUAAGGCGUAUUAUUUAGAUGAGGCAACCACAACAAUAAAACAAAUAAAAGAAAGUAAAGAAAGAGAAAUAAAAUUUAUCUUUUACUUAAUAGAAUAAUUAUAAUGAAAAAGGUAAACUUACAAUUGUCGAUCUCCAUAAUAUUGCAAAUGCCACUAUGUAGCUCCCAAUGAACAUAGAUUCAUUAAUAAAAAAACAUAUAAAAAUCAAGAUUCAACUAUGGAAAAAAACAAAUAAAAACCCAGAUUCAUAUCAACCAAACCAGACAUAAAAGCAUGAACAUGAAAACCUGAAUGCAUAAACCACACCAGACAUAGACAUCCUCACCGUUAUCAUAUUCGAUAUUGUGAAAAGGAAUAAACUUGAAUUUCAUAAUAGAAUAGAAUGAACAUAAAGUACUACAGAGCAACAAAGUGAGAAUUUAGAGAGAAAACAGACCUCAAAAUAUAUCGGAUGAUUUCCGUCCUGGUUGAGUGGAAAGGGGUAAUCGGCAACAAAGUGAGAACAUAAAUGCAUGAAUAUCAGUAUGUUUAUAUUUGAAACAGAAAUAUAAAAAAAUAGAAAAUAAAAGAUACAGACUUGUCCAUCCUGUAUAAUAGCUUCAACAUUGAAAGACAACAAACAUAUGGACUGCUCUUCACAAAUUUUCGUCAAUCACGGACCUAGAUGAGAGAGAACGGAUGAAGCUUCAAGAUUUUUGGAUGAAAGGAAAUAUGAAAAUGAAAGUGAAAUGUAAAAGGAUGGAUAUGAAAGUACAGAUUCUUGAAAAAUAGAAUAGGGUUACCCGGAUAAAAGGGAUAUAUCUAGCGAGUAUUAUAUUUUGUUGGAUCAAUGUGUAAUGUGUAAGUACUAAUUGUUUGAAAAAUAGAAUAGGCGGUCUUUUGCUAUCACCACAUGUCAGUUUGGAGUGUUUGUAUUGGUGGGAGAGUUUGUAUUAGUUAGUUACCAUAAAGGGCAUAAUUUAGCCUAAUUAAAUAUUUAUUAUAAGAGUAGAUUUGGUAGUGUCUAUGCAUGUUAUAAUCUUAGUUUGAUAGUUUAAAUGGUAUUUUAAUUACUUUAAAAACUUAUUUUAUUGGCCAAAUAAGUUCUUUUAGUAAGAUUUUUUUUUUAGCAUUUUAACCUUUUCCAAACUUUCUUUAUAAGUAAAUCUCAUUAAUAGAGUAUAACGAGUACUCUUGUUCAUUUUAUCAUAAUGUCACCUCUUAUAUUAUGACAUUCUACAUCACUCAUAAAAAUUGCUAUAUACAUUUGAUUUAAGCUUUACCACAUGUCAAAAUCGAGUUGUUAGUUUGAUAUUAAACAACACUCUUUCCACCUCUCCCACAUCACCAUUAAACUGUAUGUUAUACAUUUUUAACCAAAUGCAUCAACAUGUUGUUAGUCAUAAUACUCCUUAAUUUUUGUAGUUUUCAUUUUCAAUCCUUUCCUAUAUUGAUUUAAGCUCUCCCAACUAGCAGGUUCAUUAGGCAUAGAUAUACCAAACCAUCCCUCCACAACCCUCUAUACACCUGAAGUAACAGAACUUUGGAAUGAGAGAUGUUUUACGCUCUCCUUCUAUUUGAAACAUAAAACACAUACCUUGUUCUUAUUACUUUGGAGAGUUCCUCUUUUAGCCAAUUGAGCCCUCGUAGGAAGUUUGUCCAGCAGAAACCUCCACCUAAACAUCUGAAUUUUAGACGGGAACUUUGCUCUCCAAACUCCUCUUAACAUAGCUUUCUGACCUCUCUCUAGUGAGCUAUCUAAAUUAAUCCAUGUAAUCAAUUUGUAACAUGACUUCAUAUAGAAGUUUUUAGAGCAUCCAAGGAUCCACAUGAAUACAUCCUCUAGGAACCAUUCCUAACAGAAUGAUAUGUAUCUCCUCCACCCACUUUACUAUUUAUGUUGAUAUUUGUACAGAUGAAUAUUCCAUACCCACUCCUCAUCAAUCUAACACUCUAUAUCUACCACACUACUAUUAGGUUUACUAGAUAAUAAGAACAGCUAAGCAAAAACAUCCAUCUGAGGUUGAUUACUAAACAACUUGCCCUUCUAAAAUGGUUUGCAACUACCAUCUCCAAUCCUGCAUGAGAUGUUACUUGAGAAGGGACACAUGUGAAACAUGAUUAAACACGUGUGAUGCAACAUCUGGUCUCUGAUAACAUACAAAUGGUAUUGCAGUUUUGAUUCAAAUUUAUUCUAUCCAAGAUUCACUCUACAAAGAAGAUCUAUAAUUCACAGAGAAUAAUUAAUUUGGAUGUACUGGUGCAUAAUAUGGAACACGAUGUUCCAACAUGUGGGCAAUGCAACAUCUGACCUUGGCCAAUAGGCCAUGAUGAAUGUUGUUAGUGUGAAAUUUCUUAUUGAGAUUCAAUCAUAUUUGUUGCUGAUUUUUCAGCAAUGUUCGUUUGAUUUGUUUGACAACUGUUGAAAAUCUAAUCAGAUUUAAAUGGAUAUUUAAAUUUGAAUUUAAAAUAUAACAAAUUAUAUAUUUUAGAGAUUUUUAUGGAGCAUAUCAAAUCCAACAAUAUUCAGCUAUUAUUCUUGACGAGUUAAAUGCAAAUAUUCAAUGAGAAAAAGCUCAUAAGACAUUUUUAUAUAAGGAGCAUCACUGCUCAUGUUUUGGUAUGAGUUUUAUGCGCUAGAUUAAGUUCUUAAUGCCUAGAGUUUGUGAGUAUGUUAUUUCUUGCAUUCCAUGCUAAUGCUAUCACUCACACCAUAAGGAUUAAUGUUGGAUCUAUUUGUGCACAUCACUCUCUAUUUCAAUAACUUGGCAUAAUUAUUGGUUUGUUUGAGUUGACUUGUAAAUUUUACAAUCAAUGGAGUUGUUAUUGAGGUUGAUCACUAAGGUUUAGUGAUUGAUAGAAAGUGAGAUGAGUUCUCAUAUUUAGGGGGAGUAUUAAAUAUGAAGUCACUAGGAUUAGGAAUAGGCAUUGAACAUAAUGGGGUUAAUGUAGGGGCGACAAAUGGGCAUGCCCGCCCCGCAAAAACCCGCAAAAAAACGGGGCGGGGCGGGGCAGUCAUAGUUGAGGAUGUGCGCCUAAAACUUAGGCCCGCCCCGCAAAAAAGUGAGGGUGAGACGGGGAAAGCCUGCGGGCACUGCACUCUUUAAGCCUAAAAAUGCUGCGGGGCAGUCAUAGUUGAGGAUGUGCGCCUAAAACUUAGGCCCGCCCCGCAAAAAAGUGAGGGUGAGACGGGGAAAGCCUGCGGGCACUGCACUCUUUAAGCCUAAAAAUGCAAAAAGUUAUAUAAAUGCACGUGCCCGCAAAAGCCCGCGAAAAAAAUAAGGCGGGGAGGGACGAACAUAUUAGAGGGUGAGGGCCUAAAUCCUUGGCCCGCCCCACACUAAAGUGCGGGCAAAAUGGGCAUGCCCAGCGGGUCGGACCCAUUUUUCCACCCCUAGGUUAAUGUUCAUAUAAGACUAAUUUUACUAAUUUGAAUUACUGAUUUUCCUUUAUUGGGUAGAGUUCCAUCCAAACUUAGGUCACUUUCAGUUGUCCCAACAUUGUGUCCAACAUUUGUGUCCUCAGGAACAAAAUUUCAAUUAUUAAGCAACUUCAACUAAACAUUCUUGUAUCUUUGCUUGAGUACUCCUGCCCAUAAUGCCUCUUUCUCGAUUAGUAUCCACCAUUUCCAUUUCCACACUAGGACCAUAUUAAAAGCCUCAAUACUUUUAACGCGUAAUCCUCCAUCCUCUUUUGAUUUGCAAAUGUUAGACCAACUGAACCGGUUGAUUCUCGUUCUUCGCUCUAAGCCACCCCACAAGAAGUUUCGUUGAUAUUUAGUUAUCUCUUGCAAUACUUUCAUUGGCGCUUUAUAGAAUUACAGGAAGUAAAUUGGGAUGUUAUUAAGGACUGAGUUCAACAUCACAACUCUCCCUCAUACGAUAUGUCUAUUCCCUUACAUGAUGACAACCUCCCUAACCCAUUUAUGCUUAGACUUUUGUCUGAGUAGGAUUUCAUUGUACCUAAGGUUCUUACAAAUAUUGUUUGAUUCCAUCAACUUUUUCCCGCAAAUUUUGUGUUGAUUACAUCAUUAUUAACUCCUAACAACUCAUCACAUUCUUUCCUAUUUUUAAGGGCUUCAUCCACCUUCAAGUUAAUUCACCCAAACAAUUUAUUCCACCACUUUAAUAUAUCUUUAAGCUUAUUCAUUAUCACCUUAAUCACAUAGGAACUUUUACCUGAUGCCUUGAAUGAUUUUCAAUUAUCUUUUACAAAUUGGAAAAAACCUCUAUGUAAGCGGAAAUAUUUAUUGAUCGAUUAUAUGAAAUUAGAACAUCAAUACUUACUUGUUGAAGUCAUGAUUCGAGAUCUCUAAAAGAUGAAUGACCAGAUCUUCCUCUGUAUCUCAUACUCCCGUUCAUAACUCUCAAUGGGGCAAGUUCUGGAGCCGUCAGUUAUGUUUUUGAUUCUUGUGAUUACAUAGGGGACCAAACAGUAUUGAAUCACGAAGAUUAUUAUAUCCUUCAUUGACAUAAAACUUUAUGUGGUUACAAAUACUACGGCCUUUGUCAACUAGUCAUCAACGUGGAGUGUGGCAAGAAAAUUGUAUGCCAAUGUGAUCCAACAACCCACUUCUAUUUUUUUGUCAGUCCUUAACAGUUUCUCUCAAAUGCAUUAAAGCCAAAGAAAUUGCAUGGUUUUAUAAACCAUAACGCCUCAACUCUAAUAUAGCGUCGACCACUGAAACAAUGGUCUUGACAACACCAAGCUUAAAAUCAUACCUCAUCUCCAAUAUGGUAUCGACCCCCGAUAUAUUGGUCUCGAAGAUGCCAAGCUCAAAAUUAUAACCAUGCCUCGAACUCUAACUAGUGUCGACCAUACGCACGGUAGUCCAAAUGACAUCGAGUUCCAAUUUUAACAAUUGAUAUAAAAAAAUAAUGACAAAUUAUAAUAACAAUAUUCAUUGUAAUAUCAAUUUCCCAAAAUAGAAAGUACUUGACAAUCCAUCACUUAAAGUUCCAAAACAAAAUACAACAUGAUAAGAAAAUGAAAUAAAGAACAAACUCCCACUAACCAAUUACAUCAAAAGAACUCAUAAUGACCAUGCUCUCAACAUGGUUUUUGAAAACAAUGGGCCUAAGUCCCUUAGUUAGGGGAUCAACUUGCAUAAAAUCAGUACCAAUCUACUCAACAACAAUGUCAUUUUUCUUUACGAGAUCUUUGAUUGUCAAAUACUUCAAUUCCAAAUGCUUAGAACCGCUAAAGGUUUUAUUAUUCUUAAAGUAGAACGUAGUUGUAUAAGCUUUAGUGGCUUAGCAAUGAAAUCAACAAUAUGAAGCCCAGUCACUAAAUUUCUCAACCAAACAGUAUGAGUGGUAACAACAUAACAAGUAACAAACUCUGCUUGCAUAGUAGAAGAGGUGACAAGAGUUUGCUUUUUACUCUUCCAUGAUAUAGCACCUCCAACCAACAUAAACAUGAAAGCAGAAGUAGAUUUCCUAUCAUCAACACACCCAACAAUAUCAGAGUCAGUAUACCUAAUUAUUUCCAAGUUUUCAACCAUCCUAAAAACAAGCAUAUACACUCUAGUUCUCUUCAAAUAUCUCAUCACUUUCUUAGUAGUAAUCCAAUGAUCAUUCCUAGGAUUGGAUUGGUAUUGUCCCAAGAUGCCAACUAUGAAAGCAAUGUCAAUCCUAUUGCAUACUUGAGUAUAUAUCAUGCUUCCCAAUGCACUGUCAAAGGAUUUUCCCCGUCAUUUCUGCCAGCUCGAUCUCAUUUUUAGUACAUUGAUCUUUACUGAACUUUUCACCUUUAGUAACCGGAAUAUCCCCUGGCUUACAAUUCUGCAUAUUGAACCUCUCAAGGACUCUAUCAAUAUAAGUCCUCUGGGACAAGUCAAGUACACCACGCGAUUCGUCCCUACGUAUUUCAAUUCCCAAUACAAAAGAUGUUUCACCAAGAUCUUUCAUAUCAAAGCUUGAUUAGCAUAAGUUUGAUCUCAUGAAGUAGACCAAGAUCACUACUGGCAAGCAAAAUAUCAUCAACAUAUAACACAAGAAAGAUGAAUUUUCUCCCACUGGGCUUAAGAUAGAUGCAUUGGUCAACUUUAUUUUCUUCGAAACCCAAGGAAGUCACCACAUCAUCAAAUUUCAAGUACCAUUAUCUAGAAGUCCGUUUCAAACGAUAAAUAGAUUUUAUCAAUUUACAAACCAAAUGCUCAUUACCACUUGACAAAAAACCCCCAGGUUGUUACACGUACACCUUCUCAUUAAUAUCACAAUUCAGAAAAGUAGUCUUAACAUCCAUCUGGUGCAACUCUAAGUCAAAAUGUGCUACAAGAGCUAUAAUGAUUCUAAAAGAGGCUGUGGUGGAAACAGGAGAAAAAGUUUUGUUAAAUCCAAUCCCCUCCUUUUGUGUGGAACCUUUAUCCACAAGGUUUGCCUCAAUUUUACCUUUUGAGUCCUUCUUUGCUUUGAAUAUCCACUUGUAGCCAAUCACCUUGCAGUUUCUUGGUAACUCCACAAGUUCCCAAACAUCAUGGAUUUCAUUUCAUAUUGAAUUGCAUUUGUCCACAUGAUAAAUUGAGAAUAAGUAAUAGAUUCUAGGUUAUUUUUAGGAUCAAUAAAAUCACCAACAUAAUAAGCAUCAUCACUAAGAUAAACUACAAAAUCAUCAGUGAUAUCAUGUUGCUUUUGUCUUACUGGCCUUCUAACAUGAAUUUUCUCAACUGGCUCAGCAGGUUGUACAACCUCAAUCAUAAUAAGAGGAUCAACUACAUUAUCAAUAAGUGGUUCAACCAUAUUUUCAAUUGGAAGUUCAGCCACAUUCUCAUUUGUAAUUAAACCUCCGCGAGUAGUGGAUGAGCUAGCAUUAUCAAAAUUAGGCAGUGGCAAAGUAACAAUGCCAGGCAUAACAUAAUCAAUAUUAUCAUAUAUAAUGGCAUGCUCAACAACAUCAAACUUAAGGAAUUUUUCUUGCUUGGACUCCACGAUUUUAUUACCUCUAUCAGGACAGAAGAACCUGUAUCCUUUAGCUCGGUCUGGAUAUCCAUGAAAAAACAACGACUAGUUUUGUGGUCAAGCUUUAUCUCAAAUGAAUUAUAUAUUUUAACCUCUGCUGGGCAACCCCAGACAUGGAGAUGGUCCAAACUGGAUUUUCUACCUGUCUAAAGCUCAAAAUGUGUUUUUUGGAACUAAUCUACUAGCAACUUUGUUUAGUAGAUAUAGAGAUGUUUUCAAAGUAUCACCCCACACAAAUUCUAGUAAAUUACACAUACUCAUCAUGCUUCUCAUCAUAUCCCUAAGGGUGCAGUUUCUCCUUUCGACUACACCGUUUUGUUCAGGAGUACUGUUAGAUACCCAAAAGUGCUUAUUUGAGCUAUCAAAUAUGGGCAUCUUUCACUCCGUUUCCUUGCUAAAGUGUUCGAAACCACCUUUGUUUUUGAUGAAUUGCAAUACAAUGAUAAACGAUCUCGAGUAAACUUUAAUUCCACUUCUUGUUACCCAAUUGGUCUCAAUGUCAGAUUUCGUCAUGUGUAAAGCUGCGGCAACUUCUUCAGACUUUGGCAUCUUUUCUAAACCGCUGAAGGGUAUUUGAUCCAGGAUAGGUAUCCCAAGCAGCUGGGAGAAUUCUUCUAACGUGGGUACCAACUGAUAAUCUGGGAAAGUGAGCAAUGAUGCUUAGGAUCGAAGAACUGGAAUAGGACUCUCAUCAUAUUUCUUCUUGAAACCAGUGGUAACCAGAUUGGGAGAUGACCAGUUUCUUGUUGAACUGAGCAUGAUCGGGGAGUUCUGACACCAAAUCCUUGAUUGAGGAGAGAUUGCUACAAGAUUGAUCCGGAUAGUCUUCCUGGAAGCCAUAACCUGUUCAAAGAGCAAAGCUAAAUUCCUAAGUCCUUGAAAUGGUUAGUAUGAUGAUGUUAUGAUGUUAUGAUGUUAUGAUGUUAUGCAAGCACAAGCAUGUCACACAACAAUUAUUCCUAGGUUUUAAGGCUUGCAUGAGUUCCAUAGGUAAGUACCCCUCCCACUGAAGUUUGGUUGGUUCACCUCUAGAAUAGUAACCGGGUUCUAGAAGGAUCUCCAGAUCAUCGCCUUUCUUUAGGUCCACUUCAGUGCAACACCAAGUGGUUGACCGAAGCUUCCCUAAAGUCCAAUCUCAAAGAGUGUAGUAUCGAGUAUCAACCAACCUCAAUCGGAACCGAAGUCAGUUAUCUCACUACUUUCUAAUGGCUAGGAUAAGUCAAUUAGGGUUCUAAAGGUCUGGUUAAUGCUUUGAUGACACCACGCGGAAGCCAAAUUUUUCCUCAAGUAACAUGAGGAACAUCAGGACAACCAAAGUGUCACAUUAACCGUAGCUAUCAUUUUAACCAUUCCAGUAUACGCCGGAUAGUCGCGAUGAUCUAUUGCUACUUACCUAAGGUACACUAGAUCGGGUGUAGGAUCUUUCACUCAACAAUACCCUUAAAAGAAGGAACAAUCCAAAAACAUAAAUGAUUUUUUCAAAGAUGGACCUCUCUUUAAGUCCCCAGCAGAGUCGCCAGUUCUGUCAUACGGUGAACUGGACUUUAUUGGAUUUGUAAUCGCAAUGUCGCGGUUAGCAAGAGUCGCCACCGACUUUUCUUUUAUCCCUUAAGGAAAGGUGGAAAAGAACAGGAAAGACCUUAAUUUUAAAUUCUUAGGUUCGGGAGGUACUUUAUACAAAGGGAAGGUAUAGCACCCUUUGUACCAUGGUUAUCAUGGGCUCUUAAUUGCUCAAUCAUUUAUGUUUUCUAGUUUGAAAAAGGUGGUUGAGAACUGUGUGAAAAAUGUUUUGAAAAUGAGAAUUUAACUUUGUAAUGAUUCUUGCAUGAAUGUAUAUCAAAGUGGUUAUCUCGUUUGGUUUCUCGAAGUAGUUUAGAAAAAUAUAACUCGGCAAGAUCCUAGUUGGAUGUAUGCUAAGUGGUGAUUUUCCAAAAGAUAUUUGAAAGGUGUGGGGUGUGAAAAGCAUUUUUCUAUUAUGAACGAGCAAUUAAGGUUAUACCUGUCCGAGGUCUUUCUGGGCAUUUCCCAUCCUUAUGAGGGUAAAACUGUCCUUACUAUUGAGAAGUAAGUAGUUUUAUCCUGGGGGAUGUAUAAGGGUCAUCGUAGGGUCAUCGAUAGGUCAUUGAAGCAACAAUUGUGAGGUGCCUUAGCAUUCGAAGGGACUAUCAUCAUUUAACCGUAGGCUACACCGAAGGGUCAUCGAGGGACAAAAUCGUAUGUUCGAAGGCAACAUCCGAGGACUAUGAUGAUUUUACCGAAGGGUCUUUGCUAAGGAUAUCCCCAUAUUCGCGGGACAUGACCGCAUUAUGUAAUCGUGGGGUAAUAAAAGAGGGUCCGAUGUCAUUUAUUUAAAGUCCAUGUUUAAGUCCAUUAGGUAAUUAUGGUGAUACCGCAUCAGAUCGAUACAUUAAAGUAAACAUUACAUUGAAAAUUAAUAUAGUAAAAUUAAUUAGGCAAUCAAUAUGAAUCUUCACGUUAACGUGAAAUAAUUUAAAAUCCCUCUCCAUGAAGGCUUCCCACGCGUAAACAGAGUACCUAGCCGGCUAUUUUUUCGGAAGUAUGCUAGCCUUUACACCAUGAACACACGGAUUAAAGCAUAAAAUACAAUUGGAAAUUGCAUCAUAAGAUAAAUAUAGCAGCCCAGAAUUUAGGCCAAAUAAUGCAAUCAUCAUUGGUAAACAUAAAUAGCAGCAAAAGCAAAGCAGCCCCUGGCCCGGUCGCCUCUGCUUCGCCUAGCGAAGGCUCGCUGCGGGCUCGCCUAGCGAUGAGCUAGCGAGCGCGCCACGGUUUGACAUUUGAGAACAUUAUAACUUCAACCUGCAGCAUGGCUUAUGGCAUCCAACAUAUGAUUAUACGGUUCAGUUUCACAAUAGGCAAAUACAUUUAAAUUCUCAUGCAAGACUCUAAAAUGUUUAUGAAUUCAAUUAUAAUCCACAAAUUAAGAACAUGAAGUGGUACCAUAUGCCAGGUGAAAAUACACAACGAUAUCACAUGCAAAUUAAGAUACUAAAGUGAUACCACAUGCAAAAUAAAGACACCAAAUGAUAAUCAUAUGCCAAUUAAGAAGCUAAAGCGAAUAAUAGUGAGGCUAACCUGUUCGCAAAUCAAGUUGUAACCUUGAAUUGGCGAGCCGGAUUGAGUUGGACGGCGGUAGCUUCGGAGCGAGUAAGCGGCCUUCAGGGUUUCCGCCUUCUGAAUUCUUUGGAUCAGCAGGGUUUCUGUGUUUCCCCUCUGGAUGCGUGUUUCCGUCCGUCUUCGUCCGUCUGUGGUGUGUUUUUCGUGGCAGAGAAGUAGGUAUUUAUAGUAGAGGUAGUGGUGACCUAAUGGGCUUAAAAGAGGUCCAAAAAUCUCAAACUUCGCAAGCUUCGCUAGGCGAAGGAAUUGCUCGCCUAACGAGCAAACUAGGUCUGGGCUUUUUCCUGGAUCCAAUGCUUCGCUGGGCGAGGGACAUGAUGAAAUGUUCGCUAGGCGAAGGAGCUACUCGCCUAGCGAGCCAGAUGUUUGGGCCGCCUGUGGAUUGGGCCUUAUGUGAGUGGGCUUUUGUCCAUUUGAUACCGGUGCCUUGCAGAACAAGUCAGAGGGUCUUGGAAAAUGUUUGGUAAUGCCAACGGGCAAAUUUUGGGUAUGACAGCUGGGUUCUCGCUGGGCGCUCGCCUAGCGAGCCCUCGCCUAGUGAGCAAGCUGAUGAAUGCAUCUUUUCUUUGGUCCCUUUUGCCAACUUUCUUGUGGCUUCAUUUCUAUUAUUUCAUGCCUAAUUCCUGCACAAUAACACACAAAUCAAAGGUACGCAAGAUNNNNNNNNNNNNNNNNNNNNNNNNNNNNNNNNNNNNNNNNNNNNNNNNNNNNNNNNNNNNNNNNNNNNNNNNNNNNNNNNNNNNNNNNNNNNNNNNNNNNUUUAAAUUCCGCUGCAUUUUGGGUCGCUCUUCUCCUUCACAUCAGGGAACACAAGUGCUUGUACUCUCCCUCAAGUCCAUGCAACUUCCCAGAACACAACAGCUCCCCCUUAAGCCAGUCCAUAACAAGCAACAACCACACUGCUUCACACAAACAGAACACAGAGAAUUCUCCCCCUGUACCAAACAAAUAAACACCCGAAUUCUCCCCCUGUAUCAGACAAGCAGAGCAACAACAAUACUACAAAGCUAAGCUGAGAUACUCAGCUACAUCUACAGCUACUUCUCCCCCUUUUUAGCCAAAAAAGACCAAAGAGACAAAAUAAAUGUCUAUCUAGUCAUUAACAGAAAUACCAGAAGUUAAAGAGUUACAUCACCAAGUACAUACACAGCUGUAAGAAAGCUGAGAAACAAACCAAAAAACACACAAAGAAAUCCACCAAAAAACCAAGAAAACCAUCAAAAUAAGAGGGACCAAAGCCAACAGAGCUACUCAGUAGAGCUUGAGUUUGCAGCCUCUUCAGCAGCACCAGAAGCAGAAUUGCCACUCGCAUCAUCAUUGAGUAGACCUCUCACUAGAGGUGUGGGCUUCAGCUUCUUCUUCAUGGAUGACAUUAGCAUGUUCAACAUUUUCACCCUCAGACUGCUCCAAGAUUUCAAUCAAGGCUUCCAAAGAUUGUUUUCUAGUUGUGGCUACCCUAAUCCCUUCACCUAGAUCUUUGCAUGUCUCCUUAAGCUCAGCAAUUGCUCCAACUUUUGAGACUGACCUCCUCAUGGCAGAUGUCAUGACAAUAUCCUCGACAUGACUGCCUUCAAAGAGUUUGUAGUGCACAGACAGAGCUGUCCAACUUUUGAGACUGACCUCCUCAUGGCAGAUGUCAUGACAAUAUCCUCGACAUGACUGCCUUCAAAGAGUUUGUAGUGCACAGACAGAGCUGGUUUUCUCCUACUAGGUAAAUCAUUUGAGCACAGAAUACCAGGAUGUAGGUUCAAGAUAAUUCCACAGAUCAUAGAGGGAAAAGCAAUUGGCAGCUUAACUGCAUUAGUAGUUGCAUGCAUGAUGGUUUGAUCAAACAUAAAUCUACCACGGUCAAAUUUCACUUUUGUCCCAACAGUAAAAAUAAACCUCCCAAGAGUAUUAGCAAUGGUGGAGACAUGGUUGAUAGGGACCCAGUUAGCAACUCCUAUUUUAUGGAGGAUAACAUACUUGAUAGUCAACUUCCCAGCAGGAAGAUGCUUUUUAAAAGGCCAAACUUUCACCUAUUUAGCUGUAAUCUCCCUACAAACCUGAUUGUCUGUAACCUCUAAUUCUCCUGCACCCUCAUUAUUUCUGCCUAGAAAAUUAUUAAUAACAGUAGGAGAGAAUGUUAUACACUUACCCCUCACAUACACCUUGCAGAACUCCUUGCUAUUCUUAUCAUAAAUAUCCUCAGGAAUAUUAACAAUAAAUUCCUUGACUAAACCUUUGUAGCAUUGAGAGAACCCAGCAACAGUCUUCAAAAGCCCAGUAGCUUGUAUCAGGUCCAUGACCUCCUUGACAUCAGCAACAUCUUUUCCCAAUUCCCUUUCCACAGCUACCCUUCUCUGAAUCAUAAAUUUCCACUUAGCAGCUUCAUCCUCAAGAUGGAAGGAGAUGUUAUCCAAAUGAACAACAAGUACUUUAACAGGAGACUUCCUAACAAUAGUUUUCUUCGUAGGCGAGAUGUCAGGGACAUCUUCCUCAACAUCCUUUUUAGGCUCAGAAUCAUCUCCGGCCUUCCUCUUCUUUAUUUCAACCUUGCUCCAUGGUUUGGAGGGACCAAUGACAACAGUCUUCUUAGCUUUUCUAGCUGACAUAAGUUCAGCCACAGAUUUUCCUUUGCGAGUCUUCAUGCGUUUAGCCACACUUGGCUUUAUGUGAUGAAUCAAGCUUUCCUCUUGAUCAUCAGAGCUACCAUCCUCUAGAUCAAUCACAACAUUUGUAUCAUCAUGCUUCUCAGAGUGGGAAGCAUUAGCCAUGUUAGAGGCCACAGAUUUCCCUUUGUCAGACACGGUUUUCCAUAGAGAGUGCAGCCCUUCAGCAGCCAAGUCCUUUUCAGAACUGGAGGAAUCAUCACCCUUACCACUAGGUUGUUCAACCUCAGGAGGAGGAUACAUUUGAGCAAGGGGAGUAGAAACCCCCUUCACAAAGUGGCCUUCAUUAAGAAUUCUAGUAACUAUGUCUCUUAUAACACGAUCAGUAUAGUGUGUUCCUUCCUUAGAAUUAGUGACAGGAGUUGAACCAGACGAAAUACUAGAGGGAUUACCUUGAUUGGAACAUGCAGAAGCGGAGGCAUCAAUGGAUAUGGAUGGGUUCAAAUCAAUGUCCGCGGUGGGAAUAACAGAGAGAGGAGCAACAUCCAAAAUCUCAUCAUCAGGGACGCCCAUGGGAGGAACACUAACUUUUGGAGUAGACUUAGUAUUUUUAGAAGCAGAUGUAUCUUGAUGUUGUGACAUUUUGGAGUUUUUCUGGAAAAAGUAAGGUUGCCCUAGCAGAGGUUUGUGGAGAAGGAAAAGGGAGAUGGAAUAGUUGGAGUAGGUAAUGGGGUUAUGAGGGUAGCGUGUGAAGAUGGAAUAGAUGGUAUUUCCAAUACAAGGUAAUGAUUUACCAUAAUGGGGGCACUUUAAUUUAGGAAAAUAGACUAUAAUUUGAUUAUUUUUUCCACUCCAUAUUAAUUGCUACAAAUUUUCAUAAAUGCAAAUCCCUAAUUUUCCUCUCAGGAAUUCAAAUUGAUUUGCAUCCAAGGCCUUUGUAAAAAUAUCAUCUAACUGCAUCUCAGUAGCAACAUGCUUUAAGGCUACAAUCUUAUCCUCCACAAGUUCUCUAAUAAAAUGGUGACGGAUAUCAAUAUGUUUGGUCCUGCUGUGCUGAAUAGGGUUCUUUGAGAUGUUUAUAGCACUCUGGUUGUCAUAGUACAAUGUCAUGACAUCUUGUGUGACAUUGUAUUCAGUCAACAUUUGUUUCAUCCACACCAGUUGAGAACAACUACUUCCAGCUGCUAUGUAUUCAGCUUCAGCAGUAGACAGAGAAACACAAUUUUUCUUCUUACUAAACCAUGAUAUUAGAUUGUUCCCCAAGAAGAAACAUCCUCCUAAUGUGUUUUUCCUAUCAUCAGCACUUCCAGCCCAAUCAGCAUCACAAUAGCCAGACAACACAGAAUCAGAUCCAUGAGUGUAUAGCAUCCCAUAGUCACAAGUUCCAUUGACAUAUUUCAGGAUCCUUUUCACUUGGUUUAUAUGGCUCACUUUUGGUUUAGCUUGAUAUCUAGCAUAUACACCUACAGCAAAAGCAAUGUCAGGUCUGCUUUCUAUAAGAUAUAGCAGACUCCCUAUCAUGCUUCUGUAGAGACUUUGAUCCACACUGACAUCAUUUUCAUCUUUAGACAACUUCAGAUGAGUAGGAGAAAGUGUCCUCUUGUGGCUUGUAUUCUCCAUGCCAAACUUCUUAACAAUAUUCUUGGCAUAUUUAGUUUGAGAUAGAAAGAUAGAUUCUUCCAUCUGCUUGACUUGCAGGCCAAGAAAAUAAGUUAGUUCUCCAACAAGACUCAUUUCAAAUUUAGACUGCAUUUGUUCAACAAAAUGUUGAACCAUCUUACUUGACAUCCCACCAAACAUAAUAUCAUCCAUAUAGAUCUGAGAAAUCAUGAGCUUUCCUCCUUCAUCUUUGACAAAUAAAGUCUUAUUAAUGUCUCCCUUUCUGUAUCCAUUGUCAAUGAGAAACACUGUGAGUCUCUCAUACCAAGCUCUAGGAUCUUGUUUCAACCCAUAAAGAGCUUUCCUCAACUUAUACACAUGCUUUGGAAGAUUUGGAUCUGUGAAUCUAAUCCCUUUGGUUGUUCAACAUAUACUUCCUCAUUCAAGUAGCCAUUUAAGAAGGCACUUUUCACAUCCAUUUGGAACAGUUUAAACUUCAGAAUACAUGCCACUCCUAGCAAUAAUCUAAUGGACUCCAGACGAGCUACAAGUGCAAAUGUUUCAUCAAAGUCAACUCCUUCAACUUGAGUGUAUCUUUGAGCUACUAAUCUUGCUUUAUUCCUAGUAACCACACCUUUUUCAUCAGAUUUAUUCUUGUAUACCCACUUUGUUCCAAUAACAUUUAUUCCUUCAGGUCUUGGAACUAAAUCCCAUACUUCAUUUCUCUUGAAUUGGCCUAACUCUUCCUGCAUGGCAUUGAUCCAGAAUUCAUCAGUUAAAGCUUCUUUAACAUUCUUAGGCUCAAUCUUUGACAGAAAACAGGCAUGUGAGUUCACUUCCCUUGAUCUAGUGGUGACUCCUUUAUUUAGAUCUCCUAUAAUGAGAUCUUUAGGAUGAUCCUUCUGAAUUCUGAUAGAGGGUCCCUUGUUUACUUGAUCAGCUUCAGGUUCAGCCUGGGUUUGGUGACUCCUUUAUUUAGAUCUCCUAUAAUGAGAUCUUUAGGAUGAUCCUUCUGAAUUCUGAUAGAGGGUCCCUUGUUUACUUGAUCAGCUUCAGGUUCAGCCUGGGUGGACUCACUCUCACUACUCUUAUCAGAAGGUUCAGUUGGGGCAUCAUUCAGAAAUGUCUCAACAUCGUCUGUGACAUCAGUCUCUUGAUCAUCAACAACAACAUUGAUAGAUUCCAUCAUAACUUUAGUUAUGGAAUUAAAGACUCUAAAGGCUCUGCUGUUUGUUGAGUAGCCCAGGAAUAUUCCUUCAUCACUCUUGGGGUCCAUUUUCCUUCUUUGUUCACGAUCAGCCAGGAUAUAACAUUUACUACCAAACACAUGGAAGUAUUUGACAGUAGGUCUUCUUCCCUUCUAGACUUCCUAUAAAGUGGUCGAGGUCCCUUUUCUCAAGGUUACUUUGUUGUGAACAUAACAAGCGGUGUUCAUAGCUUUAGCCCAAAAGUGGUAAGGCAACUUCUUAGCAUGAAUCAUAGCUCUAGCAGAUUCUUGGAGAGUUCUAUUUUUCCUUUCCACCCCACCAUUUUGCUGAGGGGUAAUGGGAGAAGAGAACUCAUGUCCAAUCCCUUCAGAUGAACAAAAAUCAGCAAAUUUACUGUUUUCAAAUUCUUUCCCAUGAUCACUUCUGAUUCUGAUAAUAUGACUCUCUCUUUCUCUUUGUAGUCUUCGGCAAAGGUCUUUGAACACAUCAGAUUUUUCCCUUAUAAAAGUCACCCAGGUAUAUCUGGAGAAGUCAUCCACCACAAUAUAAGCAUACCUUUUUCCACCAAGACUUUCUACCUGCAUAGGCCCCAUCAAGUCCAUGUGGAGAAGUUCCGGAACUUUAGAUGUGGUGUCAUGUUUGAUCUUCUGAUGUGACAUCUUUGUCUGCUUUCCAAUCUGACAUUCACCACAUACUCUUCCUUCUUCAAUCUUUAAUUUUGGGAUUCCUCUGACAGCUUCAACAGUCAUGUUUGAUCUUCUGAUGUGACAUCUUUGUCUGCUUUCCAAUCUGACAUUCACCACAUACUCUUCCUUCUUCAAUCUUUAAUUUUGGGAUUCCUCUGACAGCUUCAACAGAUAUGAUCCUCUUCAUCCCUUUAAGAUGCAGAUGACCCAGUUUUUGAUGUCAUAGUUUCACUUCUUCUUCUUUAGCUAGAGCAUAUAUUGAUGAAUAGCUAGUUUCUUGAGGAAUCCACAUGUAGCAGUUGCCCUUAGGUCUGACUCCUCUCAUGAUCACUUCAUUUUUUGCAAUAGUAACCAAGCAUUCAGUUUUUGUGAAGUUCACAUUGAGACCUUGAUCACAUAGUUGACUGAUGUUGAUUAGGUUUGCAGUCAAUCCUUUAACAAGCAACACAUUAUCUAGGUUAGGAACUCAAUAGCAGUUUAGCUUUCCAAUCCCCUUGAUUUCACCCUUUUCUCCAUCACCAAAAGUUACAUAGCUGGUGACAUGAGAUUGGAGGUCAACCAGCAGAUUUUUGCUUCCAGUCAUGUGUCUGGAGCAUCCAUUAUCGAAGUACCAAUCUUCUUUGGUUGAGACUCUGAAGGAAGUGUGAGCUAUCAAGUUAGUAGCACCAACCCUAGGAACCCACUGUUUUCUGUUAGACGAGAUGUGUUGUUUGGGUCUAGGUUGAUGAGUAGGACUGGGAUAACCAUACAGCCUAAAUCAUAAUGGUUUUAUGUGACCAAAUUUCCCAUAGUAAUGACAUUUCCAUCUUUGGUAUUUUCCUUUUGAGUGCUUAUGUUUUCUUCUCUUGUGAUGUUGAGACACCUGAUGUGACAUCUUUGGUUUGCUAUCAGAGAGACUACAAUCAGGAGAAGAUUCAUUGAACCCAAGGCUAGUCAUGUCUCUUGCCAUCUUUCCAGCCUGGAGGAUUUUGUCUAAGGUGUCAGAUCCACUAUUUAGCAUUCUAAUAGACUUAGUCAUCUCAUCCAGUUUGGAAUUCGGGAACAAGGCUUCAAUCUUCAAAUUAGAAAUGGUUUCUAAGUGUUAUGUAUUCUCAGCCUCUAGUUGGGUUAUCAGUUUCUUAUGAUUCUCCACUUGUUGACACACUUCUUCAUUCUGAAACACAACUUCCUGUAAGAAGUAGCUAAUUCAUCAAAGGUUAAUUCAUCAUCACUGGAAUCUUCAUCAGGAUCACAUCUCUCAGUCAAGGCAAUCACAAGAUUGGCAGAUUCCCCUUCUGUUUCACUUUCAGAGUCAUCACCAGACCAAGUAGCAGCAAGACUUUUCUUCUGUUUCUUGAGAUAGGUCUCACAUUCAGCUCUAAUGUGACCAUACCCUUCACAUUCAUGGCACUGAAUUCCUUUGCCCUGUUUGGAUUUUUCUUCAGAUCUUGUUCUUCUUCCAGCAUCAUUGGACCUACUGAUGUCAAAUGAGUUGUUCUUGACAUUAGACUUUGACCUCACAUCCAUCCUCUUUAGGAUUUUGUUGAAUUGUCUUCCAGUAACACCAAGUCAUUUGACAUCCUUCAUCAAUAUCCUGACUACUUUCUUCCUUUUUAUAUUCAGUGUUGGACCACAAGGUUAUGCUUUUGACUUCUUUCAUAUCCAUCACUCAUUCCCAACUCGAAUGUUUGGAGGGAUCCAAUUAGCUCAUCCACUCUCAUCUUGCAUAUAUCUUGAAAUUCUUCUAUGGCUGUCACUUUCAUGGAAAAUCUUUUGGGAAGUGACCUGAGAAUUUUCCUCACAAGCUUUUCAUCUGACAUCUUCUUACCCAGGGCACCUGAGGAAUUAGAAAUCUCAAGAAUAUUCAUAUGGAAAUCAUGAAUACUCUCAUCUUCUUUCAUCCUCAAAUUUUCAAACUUGGUAGUAAGCAGCUGCAAUCUAGACAUCAUCACUCUAGAGGUACCUUCAUGAGUGGUUUUGAGAAUAUCCCAAGCAUCUUUAGCCACCUCACAAUUGUUCACCAGUCUUAAGAUGUUCUUAUCAAUCCCAUUGAAUAUAGCAUUCAAUGCUUUAGAGUUUCCAAGAGCUAGUUCAUCCUCCUCCUUGGUCCAUUCUUCCUCAGGCUUCUUAUCAGUUGUAACUUUUCCAUCCUCAGUAAUGAAAGGAUGUUCCCAGCCUGUUAGAACAGCUUUCCAAGUCUUAUUGUCCAAGGAUUUCAAGAAGGCUACCAUCCGAGGUUUCCAGUAAUCAUAGUUAGAUCCAUCCAAAAUUGGUGGUCUGUUUACAGAUCCUCCGUCUUUGUCCAUAGUACCAGAAAGUAACGUCCCAAGAUCUCACCCAGAACCAGAGCAGGAUGCCUGCUCUGAUACCAAUUGAAAUUCUGGUAUCAUAUAUGAGAUGUCGAAAGUAAUGUCAUGACACUAAUAUCUGAAUAACAAGUGAAAUAUGAACAGAAUAAAAACCAUGAAACAAUUGGAAAACGACACAAGCAAUUGUUAACCCGGUUCGGUGCAAACACACCUACGUCUGGGGGCUACCAAGCCAGGAAGGAAAUACACUAAACAUAAUUAGUUCAAAGACUCUCAGCAAACAACUUCAAUUUACAGUCUUUUCACCUAAUCUCUACCCGUGUGAUUUCUAUCUAAGAACUCUUAGACAUGAGACCCUACUCACUCCCCCUCAAUCACAGCAGUGAUACUAGAACAAAUACCAAAAAGAAAGAAGACACACUUCAAGGACACACACUUAAUCUUGCUUAAAAGCUUCAAUCAAGUAAACAAAUACACUCGUACUUCACAGCUUAGAGUGAACAAAUUACAACUCAAAAACUCAGUCCAAUUCACACAUCAACAAGAUGGAUGAAUGGCUCACAAUUCACAAACUCACACAAGACUAAAACCAUAAUCCUCACUCACUUCACGUUCAUAUUUUCUAUCUGUAAAACAGGGUUUACAUAGUCUUUAAAUAAAAGCUUUCUAAAUAGGCAUGGGCAACAUGAAACCUUAAUUCUAUUUAUUGCAUAUUCCCUAAGAAAUAGCAGCGAAUCAUUCCUUUUUGGGAAACAAAAUAUUCUGGCUUUAAAUAGAAUUACUCCUUGAAUAAUGCAUGCAAUCUCCACAUAAGCACACAAAGACUGGCAUGAAAAGCGCAACAACAAAAUACAUAACAUUUAGAUUGAAUGUUUUAUAUGCACAUGUCAUAACAUCGGGUCUGACAUCUUGAAUAAAUCUUGCACAGCCAUAUUAAACAACCUGCAGAAGGCUGAUAUCACAUGUCAAGACUACAAGCAUGAAAUCUGGUGAUAACACUAAGUUUUACCAAAAUUGAUGCCAAUUCAUAGAACCAACACAACCGAAUCCAUCAACGUGGUGUUGCACUCGAUAACAAUUACAUUUGACAUGUUUUCUUGGUCCUUCAACAUAAUCUUGAACAUCUCCAAAGCUCGUGUAACAUUGUCCUCUUUUAUGGAUUCUAAAAAAGAAAAACCCACUUAAAAAGUCUUCUCAGUAGAAGUAACACCAACAAUUUCCAAAAGUGGAAGCUUGUACUUAUUGGUCAUAUAUGUUGGAUCAAUUAUGAGGACACUGGGAAAUAUGUUAAACAACUUGGUAGAAUCGGAAUGAGACUAAAAUAUAUCUCGAACAAUGACUUUAUCCUCAUAAACUUUGUACCUAGAAACAUAGUUUCAUCAUCCAAAAGCUUCAAGAGUUAUUGUAUUUCAGAUCUUAGACCUCUUACCACCUUGUUGUUUCUGGCACACAAAUUAUAUACUUGCUUGAUAUCUGAAACAUUUUGAAGUCUUUUCAGUUUCAAAGUUUCAAGUAUGCUUUUCGGCGACACCAUGUUUAAUGUCAUGUUCGAAACAAGUUUAUUCUCCUCUUGAAUAAAGCGACAUACAAUGGGAUAAUCUGAUAUCUUGUGACACAAGGCAUGAUUAUGUAUACUGGAAACCACAUUAAAUUUCCAUGUAGCAUUGGCCAUACAAUAUCCUUGCAAUUUAAACAAACACUCAAGUUUUCUCAAUCUGGUGUCAUCAUGUUUUAUCUUCUAAUCGAUGGUUGGUACGUGCCAAUUCUUUCGCAUUUAAUUGUUACAAAUUCUUGUAUUCUAUCAUAAUCAUUGUUAGGUAUUCCUAAUACAUUUCUAAACCCCGAUUUCCCGACCUUCAUGCGGACCCAUUGUAGCAUAUGUUCACGAACAAUAAACUUUUGUUUAUUUGUAAAUUAUUCAUGAACGUCUACCUCGACAACAACCAGUCUAGCAUUCGGUUUAACAUCAUCCUUCACUUCAUUUGGUUUAACAUCCAUCAUCAUAGUAGCUCUGGAAAACAUAUUCGGGUGCACCAUAUAUAACACCAAUCAUAACAAAAAAACAUAUUCAAAACUCAAAGUAUCAAGCAAAUCCAGAGAUGCAUCUUCGGGACACAUGAAACUUAGUCUGGGUAUUCAUCUUUGUACUCAACAUUCUUUUUAUUAGCUCAAAAAUCAGGUUAAUGCAAGAAAUGAGGGAUGAAAUGGUGAACUUUACCUUAAAUUUCAGGUUCUUUUGCUCCUUUUGAUGUGAUAAAAUAUAACAAUGGUGUUUUGGUAUCGAAAAAUUGAUUGAGAAUGGAAGAAUUUUUUCAGGUUUUUAAGUGUGAAUUAGAAUUUGAUCAUAGGGAAUAAGAACAUGAAAAGUGAUGUUUUAUUCAAUUUGCCACUAGAUAUUUUUGUUUAUGCAUAUUCAAAAUUAUUAUUGAGUCGUUACACAAAUCAGCUCAGAGAAUACAAACACCAUAAAUGAGUACAAAGGGUUUUACGGAGAUGCAUCUCAGAAUUCACCCUAAAAUAUAUAGAGAUGCAUCUCCAGAAUAGAUUUUGAAAAAAAUGGGUGGUUUGCUGAAAUACGAGGACUGGUGUGAUAUAAGGUGCAUCCAGACAUGCAUCUCGGGACACCAAUAAGGUAUUUUUUGGUUUUUAGGGUACAGGCGCAUCCUAUGGGGUGGGAUAAGUAUUUCCCUUUUUUUGGAGAUAAAUAUAUUGAGUGACUUACCAAACUCUUUAAAAAAUUAUGAGGUUAAAGCACUUGUAGGAUGAAUGGAGAAUAAGCACUUUAGUUUCAAUCUAUAAGAACAAUGAGAUAUAUAAAAUUAUGCUAAUUAUAGGAAGAUUAAACUUAUGAUUUAUACCUUGAAGUUAUGGGAAAGAGUGAUUGAGCGGAGAUUAAGAAAAGAAACUCAAGUCAUUAAGAAUCAAUUUGUUUUUAUACUUGGAAGGUCGACCAUGGAAGCGAUCAAUCUAUUACGGUGUGUGAUGGAGCAGUAUCGGAUUGACCAACUAGACUUGUACUUAAUUUUUAUUGACUUGUAGAAGACAUGUGAUAGAGUGCCUAGAAAUUUUUUGUAGAAAGUCAUAGAAAAGAAAGAGGUUAUGAUUGCAUAUAUUUGAACUGUCUAAGAUAUAUAUGAAUGGGUAUCGACUAGUAUGCACGACAUUCCUUCGUAUAAUAAAAACCAUCAAUAAUUGAACCAAUAACGCUCUUUUAAACAAUUCUUCUUUCAAUGUAAAUAAUCAAAUAGACAGGUUGAACAUUAUCUUCCAUUUUUUUUUUAACUAUUUUUCACAAUAUUCAUACAAAUAUAUAAUCUCACUUAUAUUAGUUGAAAUUGGAAGAGUAAAUGUCAAACGAAUUAAAUAAUAAACUAAAGGAUAAGUAAAAAUUUCCUUGUUUGCACCAAACCGUGGCAGAUCUAAGAAUCUUUGUUAGAUUUAUUAAUUAAUGAUGAAAAGGAGCGUCGAGUUCAUAAUGUUGAUAUGUAUUUUAAAAUGCAACUUCUCUUGUUGGAUAAAAUUAUCAUAAUGAAAUAUCAUUUUCAACCCACAAAUUUUAUUCACAUUGUGUGACUUGUAAUGAUCUUUUGGUUCUUAAGAUGUGCCCAAAGUAAGCAAUUCCACCAUAUUAUCAAAAAAGCCUACUAUUAAGCCAUUGCAAUUAAGUGUCAGUUGUAGUAAUAAACAAAUCAAUUCGAUGAUAAUGCUCAAAUGUAAUACUUGGACGAGUUUGACUUCUUUUUGAAACAUAUAAGACAUUCAUAUCAUGAGCCUAUAUAUUGUGCUUUUUGCAAAAUGAUGAAAUUUCCUAUGAAAAACGUUCCCACUUAUUCGGUUCAUACUUUUAGUAGUGAAAAUCAAAGACAUUAUGGAACACCUUAGCCCGAAAUUUAUAAAUAAAAGAUUACUCGAUAAUUUAAGGUGUCACUAACGAUAUAUAGAUAUUUUGAAUAAUAUGUAGAUAUUUUAAAAAUACGCAGCGGAAAAUUAAACAACAUACAUCAUUUGUCAUCGCAUAUUUACCUUCAUUUAGGGUAUUAUCGCAACGGAAUCACAAUAUUGUAGUAAUAAAAUAUAUCAACUCAAAUUGGAUCUUAUAAAGACUUAAUUUUUCACAAAUGGUGUUCAAAAGGAUUUCAAUAUCUAUUUUCAACAACUUCAAGCAAUUCAAUAUAAUAAUUAUCAAACUUCAAAAAUACAAAUAAGUUUACAUCAACCAUAAUAAAGAAAACAUUGUUCGCGCCUCCAGUGUUACAGAAUCAGAGCAUAGCGACUAAAGAUGAAAAAACGAUAACUAAUGAAAAUAACUCCAAGAGCUAUUUUCCACUCACAACAGCAACUCUACUCAUGAGUAUCUGCAAGAUGUCCAUGGUGGACAACAUCAAAUCAAAGAGGGUGAGAAUUCACAUCAAUAAAUUAACGGUGUAGAAUGCAAGAUACAAUUCAAACAUCCACGCAUUCAACAACAAUCACACAACAUCCUUGUCAAACCAAUUUGUCAACAUACACAAUAAUCGCAUAUUCAUCAUUUAAUUUAUGCAAUGAAACUCACAACUUCGACCAGACUCAUAUGCAUGUGGUAUCAGGUCAUCAUCAAUUGGUUCACUCAUGGACUGGGUUCGAACCCUGAAUCCACCAUGCUCAUAUUCGGGACAAGUCACCAAUCCAUCCUACUCGGAUUGCAACUUUCCUCUUUCAUCAACAACAACGAUAUAACGAAUGCAUGUCACAACACGUCAAUGCAACAACAACAUAAUGUUUAAAGUCUCCUCCCAACAAUAAACAAAACAUGCAUUGAACUAACGAUAAUAGUUCUCCUCCUGAACUAUCAUCCCACAACAACAUACUCACAAUUCAGCGACAUAAUUCAUGCUUAUACAGCAGCAUAUCAUCAUCACAAUUCACAGAAAUUAUCACAACAUCAUCAUCACAUAUACAUAUCUUCGUCAUUCAUCAAUAAUUUAUAAAUUCGAUUAAAAUCAUGUUUAAUCACUGAAUAAUAGCAAAACUCAUUUAAAACAGCAGCUAACAUGUAUAACAAUACCCAAAAGAUCAAUAAAAGUCGAAAAAUCGAAAUUUGAAAUUUAAUAUCAUCAAAACAAGUAUUUGCGCUCGCUGCAAACUCGUGACGGGUUACCCCUCACAGUGGUGGCGCCCGUCACCAACCCCAAAAACCCAGAACGUCAUUUAGAUGACGACCGGCUUGAAAUGCAAGUCUGGGCAGCAUGACGGAUAACCUGUCCUAGUGGUGACAUUCGUCGGUGCCCUGAGAAUUGCAUAAUUCAUUUUUGCUAAUAGAGUUCACUGCAUAGCUCAUAUUUUCUCAUCCCAGGCAUACGAAUUCAACAUAGAAACAUCACUCACGUGUUAUAUUUCAUCAGUGAUCCAAUUGCAUCAAAUCAACACUUUUAAAUUCAUAGUUUUCAUAAAAUUAUUUUAUUCCCAAAACCUUCGAACACACAACAAUGGUGAAAAUAUGUUCAUUCAUUAAUACAGAUUUUUGUCAUACAUCAAGCAUACAAAUUUCAUCAUCAAACAUCACCACAUACAACAAAUCAAUCAUCUAUAACAGAAUUUUAUUAAAAUCUCAAAUCUCUAUUGGAGAUUAAGGACUUCUCAGUUCUACCCAUCAGGCAUAUACCGAUUAUUAAGAUAGUUCUCCCCCAUUACCUGAUUAUCCUAACAACAUCGCAAAAUUUUGACUUUGAUUCUCUAAAUUCCUCCAAGUUCUAAGCUUUACUAUUGCACCUUCUCUAGCCUCCUCUCUAUUCCCAAUUUUGGCCUUAAGUAUGAUAGAAAACUCCUUAAAACUAGGUUAUCUCUUAGUUUAUAUAAUAAGGGUAAUCUAAUUAAAAGUAUAAACUCAUUUCUCACUUGCCAACAUUAUUACUCAUUUCUUCCCUCUAUUUUUUAUAAUUCUCAAUUCAGCCCCAAACUCUCUAUUUUCCAUUUAAUUAAUUAAAUUAAAAUAAAAUAUUAUUAUUUUAAUUGCUAAAAUAACUCUUAGUAAUUCUAGUCCACUUUUACCUGUCUCCAAUUACUCAUACAUUCCCAUCUUGAGGUCACAUACCCCCAUCACCCAAAUUAAGUCAAUUAUCACACAUAAUAAUUAAAUUAAAAUACAAAUAAAUCAAUUAAAAAUAAUAACUUGAAAAUUGGGAUGUUACACAUUGCAUUCAAUAUAUCUUGAUUCUUACAUUUCAAAACAUGACAAAUAUCGCGAGUAAUGGCUAUGAUAUCUCUCAUAAGAUGUAACAUAAAUAUAAACUCAAAACAUGUGGUAAUAAGGACUACCUUGUUGGCGAAGGGCUUGUUUGCUAAGGUAAUUCACUAGCUCCCCCAUAAAGAGUUUAGACGAUUUCUCCAACCUAGAUGGUAAGUACUUGAAUAGGGAAUACUUUAUUGAUGCUCUUUUGAUUAUUGAGGUAAUUCAUUAGCUCUACAUGUCCUUCAAGAAUAGAAGAAACUUUAUAAUGCAUUGUAAACUAUUCUUAGCAUUAGAUCACCUAUCAUAUGUUGGAAAUCCACCACAACUUAUGUAGAAUUUCAAUCAAUCUUGAUGAACAAGAUUGUUAUCACCCACACAAUAACAGUGAAAAAAGAAGAACAAUGGAGAAAGAAAGAUAGUAAAUAACAAAGGAGAAAAGUAAUAAAAUUCUGCAGAGUUUCUCUCUGUCCACAAACUGUGGAAAACUUCUUAUUCACUUUGCAACUGCAAAAUACUGUGAAUUAUAAUGUUAUGAAUACUAUCUUCACUUUAUUACAAGAAUAAGGGUUACUCCCUCUAUUUAUAAAUUUAGGUUAACUUGGACCUCAAGCCAGAGCCAAAAACUAUAAAAGCUCAAAAUAGCUAACACUACUAAAAUAGGCAUAAGUCGAAAUCCUAUAUGAAGCAACAUGCUUCGACACUUCGACACACUAACACAACUCAAUAAACUAGAUGGUUCGACACUUCCUUGCUUCUGUCGAGCAACCUGCUUCAACACAAGGAAUUACAAUCCAGCACACCACCUAAUUCAUUGUGUCUAACCUAUCUAGAUUUAUCAUAGCCCCUAGUCUUUUGAACACUUUGACUUGCACUCCCUCUGUCAUGAUGUCUGCAAUUUGAUUCUUAGUUUUGCAGUGUUCCAUACUCAUCUUCCUGUCUGCUACCUGCUCUCGAAAAUAAUGGAACCUCAUUUCGAUGUGCUUGCUUCAACCAUGUGCUAUCGGAUUCUUCGCCAGAUUGAUAGCUGACAUGCUGUCGAUCCUCAUGGUAAUUGCUCCAUGACUCUUCGUUGUUAUCUCUUCAACCAGAUUCACCAUCCAUGUUGAUUGACAUGCACAAAGAGAAACAGUUAUAUAUUCUGCUUCGCACGACGAUAAUACCACUACUGGCUCCUUUCUCAAACUCUAAGCAACUGGUGAACCACCUAACAUAAACACAUAGUCAGUUGUGGACUUUCGAUCCUCAGCAUCACUACACCAACUUGAGUCGGUGUAUCCCACUAAUUUGCAUUUUUUCCUUCAUCAGCUUCAGGAAACAAAAUGCCAUAAUCGAGAGUUCCUUUCAGAUAUCUUAGUAUCUUCUUCGCCGCUGCUAGAUGUGAUACAUUUGACUCCUAUAUGAAUCUACUCACCAUACAUACAUUGUAUGCUAAGUCAAGCCUUGUGUGACAAAGGUAUCGAAGUGACCCAAUAAGUCUUCUGUAUUGGGUUAGGUCGACAUCAUCUUCAUCUAAAUCUUUUGACACUUGUAAUAUGGGCUCAGAUGGAGUCGAAGUUAGGUUGCAAUCUUGCAUCUCAAAUCUCUUUAGUAUUUCGCAUGCAUACCUUCUUUGAUGCAUCAUCAAACCUCUACCAUUCUUGUAGAAUUCGAUGCCAAGAAAGUAUGAAAUGUCACCCAGAUCUGACAUUUUGAAUUCCUUGUUAAGAUCACCUUUGAAGUCUUCGAUCUCCUUCUUGCAGCUACUUGUUAUCAACAGGUCAUCGACAUAGAGGCAUAGUAUAAGCAAUUCACUCUUGCUUCUUCUUACAUAUACUUCAUGUUCAUAUUUUCACUUCACAAAUUUCUUCUCCCUUAGAAAACCAUAUAUCUUCUUGUUCCAAGCUCUUGGAGCUUGUUUAAGUCCGUACAGGGCUUUAUGCAGCCUAUACACCUUUCUUUCUUCGCCUUAUUUCACAAACCCAAUUGGUUGUGCAACAUAAACUUCUUCUAAGGGGCCAUUAAGGAAUGCACAUUUCACAUCCAUCUGGAACAUAUGCCCGUUGUUUAUGUUUGCUAGACCAACAACCAAACUGAUUGUUUCGAUCCUAGAAACAGGUGCAAAAAUUUCAUCGAAGUCGAUUCCUUCUUUCUAAAGAAAUCCUUUCGCCACAAGUCUCGCCUUGUGUCGAGUCACUUCUCCUUUGGGAUUCAACUUCACCUUGUAUACCGAUUUCAUAUUGAUUGCCUUCUUGUCUUGGGGCAAUUCGACAAGGGACCAAGUGCUGUUGACUUCGAUUAACUUCAGCUCUUCGUCCAUUGCUUUCAUCCACUUCGAAUCUUUCAAUGCCUCAGCUGUAUUGACAGGUUCGAAUUCUGCGUAGAAAGCAUAAUGUACCAGCUCACCUUAUUUAUUGACCACAUCAUUUGAUGUAAUCACACAUUCUUGCAACCUUGCAGGCAUGUGUCUUGUUCUUUGAGGUCUUUUUGAGCCUGUUUCACCUAUGACUUCUUCCUGUCAAACUUCUCUUUCAACUUCACCAGCUAGUUCGUCACAAAAGAUUCUCAUUGAAUCUUUCUUGACAUUCUCAGUCCAAUCCCAAUCCUUAAGCUCAUCUAUGAUCACGUCCCUGCUGAUAACCAAUUGCUUAUUCAUUAGGUCGAACAACUUGUAUCCUCUAGUCGAAUGAUAUCCUAUCAGGAUCAUCUGAUUUGACUUGUCAUCAAGUUUUCUUCUCAACUGAUCUGGCACAUGUCUAUGUGUUAUAGAUCCAAACACCUUCAAAUGACUCAAGCUAGGCUUAACACCAGACCAACAUUCUUCUGGCAUGAUUCCUUAUAGCUUCUUCGUCGAACAUCUGUUCAUAAUAUAUGUCGUAGUCCACACAACUUCUCCCCAUAAUUCUUUAGAUAGAUGUUUGCCUUUCAAUAUACUUCUAACCAUAUUCAUAAUGGUUUGAUUCUUCCUUUCUGCGGCUUCAUUAUGUUGUGGAGUGUAAGGUGGCAUUACCUCAUGCAUAAUCCCUUCUUUCCCGCAUAAUGCAUCGAAGUCUUUCGACACAUAUUCUCCACCACCAUCAGUCCUCAAAAUCUUGAUCUUUCGACCGCUCUGUGUAACACCCAAGACCGAAGAGGGCGAAGUGUGGUUACAUGUUACACCCGAGGGCGAGGGAGUGGUUGUCUGUGCACGAGGCAUGACAAUGAGAAAGUCCUAGCGGCUUCCAAAGAAAAAUUGAAUUCACAUAGGAGUGAGAGGGAUCUUGAGGUUGUGUAGGGGUGAUACUGCAUGGUUGAUGGAAGACUUAUAAGGAUUUAUUGGUAUUACAUAUACCAACAAGAUGCAUCUUCUUUUCGGUAGCCUAACAGGUAAGAACUUUAUAGUUAAGUGUGCUUGACUUAGAGUAGUAUUUGGAUGAGUGACCUUCUGGGAAGUUUCCCGGAAAACGUGUGAGUGAGGACAAAGCAUGCUGAAAAGACCUGUGUUGGUUUAUGGUGUCAGUCGGUAAUCCUGAAAGCAAUCCGGAGCGUUAAAAUGGUACCAGAGCAUUCUUAUUCGAAAACUAGAAUAUAUGAAAGAUAGAACCUCAGUGAUGAUAAUCACCUAUGCAAAAAUAUAAUGUGGAAUCAGAGGAAUGUUACUGAUUUUAUUCCACUAGUCCCUGGUCUUUUCCACCAAGACCAACGAUCCCCACCAAUGGAUCUGAGGCCACCAAAAUGGAUUGAAAUCCCACCUACACUCCAAAAUAAAUUAAUGCAUGGUAAUAUGAAUCACGAAUAUGUAUUACAUGGACAAACAUCAUAAUUCACCAAAAUUAUGUAUAAUAAUACUCAUAAACACCAAAAUUAUCCCAAAGGAUAUCACCAAAAUAAGUUUCAUUCACGAACCACAAAUUAUCCAAUAAAGGUCACCCAAAUUCAAAUCACAUAAAAUUUUGUUUAUUAAACAAUAUAUUCACUUUUCUUACACCCAAAAUUAUUUAAUUAAUUAUAUUCCUAAAAGUGAGUUAAAUAUACUAAUAUUUUAUAAUAUUUUAUAAAAGGUAUAUUUAAUUAUUUUAGGGUUAUUUUAUCACAAUUUCAACUAAGAACACGGAUUUUACUAGUUUUAGCUUUAUUUAUAAAAAAAAUAUUAUUAUUUACCAGAGAGAUUAAACAAAGCUUUGAAAUUUAUUAUAAUCAAAAGAUUAAUCUUUAUGGCAUUGUCAAAGUUCUUUAAAUACAUAAAACAAAGAAAUUCUAAUGAGUCUUAUGAAUUUUUAAUCAUAAACAAAAUAAAAAAAUAAAACAAAUAAAACAUAAAUUGCUAAAAUUUCAGAAAAUAGUAAAACGUUGUUUUUAGAACUUAAACGAGCUUAAACGACUUAAAAACCCGAAUAGUCACUUUAAAAAAUGAGUUUGAUUUUUGGGACGAUUCCCUUUCCUAAAAGAUAUAAUAAAACUUAUUCUGACAUCGAACACCAAACUUUCGCAAAAUUCUGUUGAACCACUUUGAAACACGACUUCUCCUUCGAUACGUGCAACCAGCAUUCCUAUCUCAGAUUUUCCAAGUUUCUGCCUCUGAAUAUCGAAUUCUUACAACAUACAAUUCCCAAUGACAAAUUCUCAAAAGUUAUGGUUUUCCCCAAAAGAUUAAUUUUAGAGUUUUUAGAUUUUCCCCAAAAGGGUUUACCUUAACAGAACCAUAAAAAAAGGACAAAGAGUGACCAAAUAAGAGUAUCCCUAUAAACACUUGUGGGAUAUUAUCAUAUAGAAUUGACCAAAAGGAUUUAUCACCAACAUGCAAUUUCAUAUUAUACUGUGAUUUAACAUCAAAAUUCAAUUUUAUUAACAAAUCACCAAAAACAAAUUUAUCGAUCCAAAAAUCAUAUCGAUAACCAUAUCGAUCACCAAAAGUGACCAAAUAGGAUUAUCCCAUUUGGGCACAGAUCGUAACAACGAUCGACUCCCAAAAACCAAAAUUUCAAUAUAAAACAUAUUAUUCAUACAAUAUGUGACCAAAGGGGUUAGGCCAAACCCCAUACGGUCAGAGCAAAUCAUUAUAAUAAAAUAUUUGUAUUUUGAUUCGAUAAUUUCAGGAUUACCGACUGAUCCCACAAACCAACAAUGGUCUUUUCAGCAUGUUUUGUUCUCACUCACACCUUUUCCGGAAAACUUCCCAGAAGGUCACCCAUCCAAAUACUACUUCAAGUCAAGCACGCUUAACUAUUAAGUUCUUAUCUAUUAGUCUACCGAAAAGAAGAUGCAUCUUGUUGGUAUAGGUAGUACCAAUAAAUCCUUAUAAGUCUUCCAUCAAUCAUGCAGUCUCAUCCCUGCACAACCUCAGAAUCCCUCUGAUUCCGAUGUGAAUUCAGUUUUUCCUUAGAAGCCGCUAGGAGUGUCUCAUUGUCAUGCCUCGUGCACAGACAAUCACUCCCUCUCCCUCGGGUGUAACAUGUAACCACACUCCGCCCUCUUCGGUCUCGGGUGUUACAUGCCCACCAUCUUCUGCUUGGUUCAUCCCCGAACCACAUCGUACUGGGAGAGGUCUGGAUUUGAUACCAUUUGUAACGCCCCAGACUGCUUUCAGGAUUACCGACUGACCCCACAAACCAACACGGAUCUUUUCAGCAUGCUUUAUCCUCACUCACACAUUUUCCGGGAAACUUCCCAGAAGGUCACUCAUCCAAAUACUACUCCAAGUCAAGCACGCUUAACUAUGGAGUUCUUAUCUAUUAGGCUAUCGAAAACAAGAUGCAUCUUCUUUUUGGUAGCCCAACAGAUAAGAACUCCAUAGUUAAGUGUGCUUGACUUGGAGUAGUAUUUGGAUGGGUGACCUUCUAGGAAGUUUCCUGAAAAGCGUGUGAGUGAGGACAAAGCAUGCUAAAAAGAUCUGUGUUGGUUUGUGGGGUCAAGCGAUAAUCCUAAAAGUAGUCUGAGGUGUUACAAGUGGUAUCAGAGCUAGACCUUUCCCAGUACGAUGUGGUUCUGGGACGAACCAAGCGGAAGCUAGUGGGCAUGUAACACCCGAUGGCGGAGAUGGCGGAGAAUGGUUAUAUGUUACACCCGAGGGCGAGGGAGUGCUUGUCGGUGCAUGAGGCAUGACAAUGGGACACUCCUAGAAGCUUCUAGGGAAAAACCGAAUUCACAUCGAAAUGAGAGGGAUCUUGAGACUAUGCAGGUAUGGGACUGCAUGGUUGAAGGAAGACUUAUAAGGAUUAAUUGGUACUAUCUAUACCAACAAGAUGCAUCUUCUUUUCAGUAGCCCAAUAGAUAAGAAAUUCGUAGUUAAGCGUGUCUGACUUGGAGUAGUAUUUGGAUGGGUGACCUUCUGGGAAGUUUCUCGGAAAGCAUGUGAGUAAGGAUAAAACAUGCUGAAAAGACCAGUGUUAGUUUGUGGGGUCAAUCGAUAAUCCUGAAAGCAAUUUGGAGCGUUACACUCUGUCUUUCGACCAUAGAUUUAAACUUGGAAUAUACCUCGAUCACUUCACUUUUCUUCUUGAUAUGGUAAGACUAUAGUUUUCGACUGAAAUCAUCUACGAAUGUAAUAAAGUAUUUGUUACUUCCAAAAUCCAAUCCACUUGGAGAGGACCACAUACAUCAGAGUAUAUGACUUCAAGAAUUGCCUUCGACCUGCUUCCUGCAUCCUUACUGAAGUUCUGCUUCGCCUGCACACAUUCUUCACACACUUUGUUUGGAAUGUCGAUUUCUGGUAAUCCUGAAACCAUAUUUCUUCUCUUCAAAACUCUGAUGUCUUUGAAAUUGAUAUGGAGAAGUCUAUAAUGUCAUAUCCAUUCAUCUUUGUUGGUUGCUGUUGUAAGGAACUUAUGCUCCAUCACAUUUAGUUCAAUCUUGAAGGUUCUAUUCUGAGACAUUGGAGCCUUCAAGAUCAACCUUCCAUUUGAGUCGAGAAUUCUCAUUAUCUUGUCUUCGAUCAAAACUCUGUAGUUCUUUUCGACUAACUUCACUAUGCUGAGAAAAUUGCUCUUCAUGCCCGGUAUGUACAACACAUUUGAAAUUACUGACCUCUUGCCAUCUUUCCUCAUAAUUAUAACAUCACCAACAUCUUCAACUGCUAGAGUGUUGUUAUUUUCAAAUUUCACCAUGUUCUUAAUUGAGGGCUUUAUGUUGACAAACCAAUAUUUCCUUAUAGACAUGUGUGAUGAACAUCCUGAGUCCAAGUACCAUUGGUCCUUGAAUCUCUCUUCAUCUCUUGUUGUAACCAUCAGUAACGUCUCUUCUUCUUCAUGUUUCGCCAGUUUUGCAUAAGUUUUUUUAUUCUUCCGCUUUUCUGGAUAAUCACUAUAAUAAUGAUCAUACUUUUGACAAUUGUAACACUAAAUAUGACUCUUGUCGGCUUUUGACCACCACCUCUUCCUCUACCUGCAACGCCACCUCUUUGGUUGCCUUGGUUCCAAGGUUUUCUCUGAUUCGACCAGUUUCCUUCUUGCUGAUUUUGACCAGUCGAAUUAUUGUAGCCUCAUUUGCCUUUGUUGCCAUUCCAGCUUACUUUUCCUUUUCUUUCUUUUGUUGAUUGAGCCUGCAAAGCCAUAUCACUCUUCGACUUUCCUGCAACUCUUUUAGUCAUUCUUUGUUCAUGAGAUUCAAGCGUCCCUUGAAGCUCUUCCUUUGUCAGUUUUGACAAAUCCUUCGACACUUCUAUGGCUACUACCAUGUGGUCGAACUUUAAAGCCAACGACCUCAAGAUCUUUCCAACAACAGAUCUUGAUGUCAACACUUCUCCACAUACUUUCAUUUGAUUCACUAGUUUCGUAACCUUGGUGAAGAAAUCAGUUAUGCUUUCAUUGUCUUCCAUCUGAAGUAAUUCAUACGAUCUCUUAUGAGUUUGUAACCUCGCCUCUUUCACCUUCUCUGCGCCUUCAAACGAUUUUUCUAGAAUUUCUCAUGCUUCUUUCGCUGACUCUACAUCACUAACCUUUUCAAAGUUAUCUGCAUCAACACAUUGAUGGAUUUUAAAGAGAGCUUUAUAAUAUUUCUUCUCCAAUUCUUUAUGUGUAGCCUUUUCUUGAUAUGUCGCGUCUUCUACAAGCGUUGCUACUCCUUCCUUCACAAGAUCCCAAAGAUCUUGAUAACAGAACACAAUUUUUAUCUGCUUGCACCAAUUGUCAUAAUUGUUGUUCUUGAGAAUCGGAAGAUUUACUGGAAAAUGCCUGUUUGGAUGAUUCGUUGCCAUGGUGAUUUUCUUCCCACUAAUCAAUUAAACUGAAGCUCUUGAUACCAGAUGUUGGAAAUCCACCACAACCUAUGGAGAAUUUCAAUCAAUCUUGAUGAACAAGAUUGUUAUCACCUACACAAUAACAAUGAAAAAAGAAGAACAAUGGAGAAAGAAAGAAAGUAAAUAACGAAGGAGAAGAGUAAUAAAAUUCUGCAGAAUUUCUCUCUACCCACAAACUGUGGAAAACUUCUUAUUCACUUUGCAACUGCAAAAUACUGUGAAUUACAAUGUUAUAAAUAUUAUAUUCACUUCACUACAAGAAUAAGGCUUACUCUCUCUAUUUAUAGAUUUAGGUUAACUUAGACCUCAAGGCAAAGCGCAAAACUAUAAAAGCCCAAAAUUAUAAAAGCCCAAAAUAGCUAACACUACUAAAAUAGGCAUAAGUCAAAAUCUUGUGUGAAGCAACAUGCUUCGACACUUCGACACACUAACACAACUCAACAUACUAGGUGGUUCGACACUCCUUUACUUCUGUCGAGUAACCUGCUUCAACACAAGAAAUUACAAUUUAACAUCAUAUAGCUCCAAAUGUUCAUUAGCAGAAAUUACUUUAAUUAGUUUUAAAUUUUGGGUGGGGUUUAAAGUUUUAGAAACCGUUAGCUAUUGGGUCAAGUAUUUGCUUUGUUUUAAGUUUUAGCCUAUCAUGUGAUAUUUGCAUUCGAUCAGUGUGAUCUAAGUUGUGUGUUGGGGACAUUGUUAGGAAUCUUUUGAGUCUCUUGUAAGGUUCACCUAGUUACUUUCAUAAUUUUGCUUGAAAGUGGUUCUUGUUUACAUCUUCAUUCAGUCUUCCAAAAAAAACUUCUUUUGUUCCAACUGGCAAAGUAGUUCUAUGUUGAAUUUGAACUUAGCGGUAAUUGUGGGAUGGUUGACGAUGGUCAAUCAGUUUCGUUAUUCAGUACACCAUAGUCUCAAACUAGUUUUUAUGGUGGAGGUUGUAUGGGAUCUUGAUGUAAAUCUUGCAUUGCUUUAUUUGACUUGGACUUUUUGUGGUCACUUAACUCUAUUUACUUGCCUUCCUUUUUUUUUACUUAAUCGAGUCUCCUUUCAAUUUUUACAAGUGGUUUCUUCAAUUUUAUGUUAAAAGGAAGUUCAGUUGAGAGUUGGCCUCCUAUACACUCUUAAACAAUUAUUUAUAAUAAAAUAAACUUAAAAUAAAAUAAAAGCAAAAUUUUCAUUAUAAAGAAAAAUAGUUUAACUUGUAACAAACAUUAAAUUAUAUAAAUGAAAGUGGCAGUCCUCGUGUUAAAAAAAUUUAAUGGGCAAUUUGACAAGUAUAUCAAAUUGUUGUUGUCAUUAAUAAGAUGGGAAAAAAUUUCCUCUGUAUCGAUCAUAAGAACUACAUGUAUUUUUUUAUUAAAUUUAACAUUUUAUAGGUUGAAUAAAAAGUUUCUACGGCUUGAACAUCCCUUUGAACUCAAUCCUAUCAAUUAAAUAUAUAUUAUCUAUCUUAUAAAAAAUAUUUCAUUUAUAUUUUUUUAUAUCUUAAAAUAAAUAUUCAUUUAAAAUAUUAAUAAAAUAUUUAUUUUUUCAUUACUAUAUUUCUAUUCAUUAGCAUUCAUUCUUUUCAAUAAUUUCAUUAAUUAUAAUAAAUAAUAUUAUUUUAUCAUUAAAAUCAAUAUAAUUAUUUAUUUAUUUAAGAAUCGCAUACAUCCGGUGCUACAUUUAGUGUUGCAGGAAAGGGAAAGAGACUUUGGAAAGCCAACAAGCUAGGUUUUAAGUGAGCAAUCUUGUGAUUUCCUUGCCAUCCAAUUACAAUUAUAGUUGUUAUCUAGUUUCAGUGUCUGUGAGUAAACCUGUUCAAGCAAGGGUAAAAGCAUAUUAUGAUUCUGACUAGCUGAUUAUAGAGUCAUAUACUAGGCCAGUUUCCAAUCAUCCUGUUUUUAGUUUGUCGUGUCAGGCGAGCAAAUGGGUUCCCUAGGCAGUAAUUGGUUGCAGGGCAUUUUCCUUGGAUGUUUUUUCUGUCUUAUAGAUAUAAAACAACAGGUAAAGCCUUAAUGAAACCUUUGGGUGAUCAAAGAAGAGAAACAAGGCUCCUCUCCUUUUUUAGGAAUCUACAACUCUCUUUACUGAACGAGACUCUACCCAGAUCUAAAGAAUUCGCCAAAGAGCCUUCUUCUAACAUAAAACUCAAAACAAAGAGUAAUAUAUCGAUACUCCCACGAUUAUUUAACAUUGAUCUCUUAAUAAUUAAACAUUUACCCACAUAGACCAACCCUUCGAUCUCUCGACAAGUUAUGAUCUAAGGUUAAGUAUUUUUAAUAAUAUGAGUUUUAUAAUCUCACCUCUAUCUUAAGUGGUCGUCGAGUAGAAUAUAUAGUUCAAAUAUUUCACUCAUUACAUUCUCAUUAAACCACAAUUUAUUUUAUUGUUGAUAUACCAAUCAAAUACAUUAAAGAUAAAUAAUGGAUAAACAACAUAAUACUAAUAUUUAUUCAAAAUAAGUACUAGUAUCAUUUAAGAUACAAGGUUAGAACUUUUUAUUCAAAUACCCCUAAUUUUUAGAAAAAAUCUCAAAAUAACUUUGAUUUAUAAAAAAAUCUCAAUCUACCCCACUUUUAAGAGGAGGCGCCAGAUCAAUUGGCGUCAGCUCCUAAAGUUAGAGAGGAGACGUCAAUUGGAUUGGCUAUGACACAUGGUGCUGCCAAUCCAAUUGGCGUCCAUGUGUUACUUUGUAGAGGAGGCGUCAAUUGGUCUGGUGCCUCAGUGUAAAGUGCAAUUUUUUUGUUAUAAAUAGAGGAGUUGUGUGAAUCAUUUUUCCACAUCUCAUUUCAUCAUUCUGCAAACAUGUUUGGUGUUCGGCGCCGCAAUGGAAAGGUGAUUUAUUCGAGAGAUAAAUCUCCGAUGUUGAUGCUCUUCUGGAACAUCACUAGUUUCGAUCAACUGAAGAGGGAGAUGGUUCGUUGGUUAGAUGGAAAAAUACCAGAAGGGGAAAAAAUUAGAAGUAUUGAGAGACUCGACAGUAUAUUUGGUUGGGUGUGAGUCAAAACUGAUAAGGAUCUUAGGGAAAUGAUGUUUGGACGAGAUGACAUUAGUUUGAUUGUUAUAAUCAGUUAGAAAUAUUAUAUUUUAAGUUUGCUUAUGUUGUAGUGAUGUUUGUUGUUAACCUUGUUGUAACAAAAAGUUAAUGAUAUAUAAAAAUCCAAGGUUACAAAAAUUAAAAGGAGAUAAUAUCUUAUGAUGAAGAUGUUGCUCCUCUAUUGGGACAGUUGUCCUUGUUGUGUCCUGGUUGACGACAUAUACUACAUAGUCUUAUCAUUUUAUCACUCGUAUCCAUUUAUGUUCUAAUACGCGUGUUGUUUGGCCGUCCUUUUUUCUUUUUUCGCAUCUCGUCGUUAUGCCAAACUAUGUCACCUUCAUAUGGAGGUCAGUAUUCCUCCAUUGGUAACACUGAGAAGCUUUUGUUAUACACAUUCAUGACAGUAAUGGUCUUGUAAACAUCAAAUAGAUGGUUGUAAGCAUCUUGACGAGUAUGUGCGCAUGUCACAAUGACAUGGGUACAAGGAAUACGGAAGGCCUGGAACUUUCCACAGUCGCACCAACUUCUGUUUAGUUUGACAGCAUAGGAUAAAUUUGGUCUCCCCUCAUUGUGGUCCAUUGUUUCCUGUACGCUGAAAUUUUGCCUAUGACGGUCAAAGACUGUUACCGUACUUUCCACAGUCGCACCAACUUCUGUUUAGUUUGACAGCAUAGGAUAAAUUUGGUCUCCCCUCAUUGUGGUCCAUUGUUUCCUGUACGCUGAAAUUUUGCCUAUGACGGUCAAAGACUGUUACCGCAUGUGUGCUAGCUUUGAUGCUCUCCUCUUUCAUCACUUUCAUACAACAUUCACUAAAUAUUUGCCUGGACAUUAACAUUGCACUACAUAUUUCACCUCUGGUUGCGAAGGUAGAAGUCAACCUAUAAUAGGUUGAUCUGACUAAAGCGGUUAUUGGUAGAUUUCUAAUCCCUUUGAAUACAUCAUUCAUUCAUUCCACAAGGUUUGUUGUCAUGUGGCCCCAUCGACAGCCUCCGUCAAAUGCCCUUGUCCAUUGCUCUACAGGUAUGUUAUCCAUCCAUCUUCCUGCAUCUGCAUUGGACAGUCUAAUUUCAUCACAAUAAUAUUGAAAUGACGGCUGAGUUAGAGCAUACCCAGCAUUCACCACUUUUUUGUGAAGGUUCUUAUCUUUGAUUGCACGCAUGAAGUUUUGUGCGAUAUGUUUAAUGCAAUAGACAUGGGUAGAAGGAGGAUCAUGUCAUUCGUUGUCAUGGUUAUAGUAAGCACUCUCAAUGGCAGCAUGUCUAUCAGAAAUCAAACAGAGAUUGGUUUAUGGAGCCACAUGUGUUAUGAGAUGUCGAAGAAAGAAAUCCCAACCACCAGCGGUUUCACCUUCAACCAGGGCAAAGGCAGUGGGAAAGGCAUUGUUGUUGCCGUCUUGUGCAACCGCCAUAAGUAAAGUACCCUUGUAUUUUCCGUAUAACCAUGUUCCAUCAAUUUUAAUAAUAGGUUUGCAAAAUGCAAAACCUUUGAUGCACGGAUCAAACGCCCAAAAGAGGAGGUGAAAGAUUCUAUUUCCAGCAACACAUGUUCCAUCUGGCGUAAAUGCUGGCAAUGUCUCCAUAAUUGCAACAGUUCCUGGUACGUAUGUUUUUAGGGCCCAUAAAAAUUGUGGCAAUUAUUUCAUCUGCAACACUCACUACUUCCUCAACAACAUCAAAUCUUUCAUCUGCAACAACCUCUUUCAUCUGCCCUAACCUCUUUCAUCUUCGAUAAGAUAUCUAUCCUCACAAUGGGCGAAUCGCACAGAGGAACAGUUGCAAACAUAACAACUUACGUAAGCAUUUAAUUCUUUUAUUAUUUGUCUAGAAUACCUUUUAAUAACAUAUCAACUUAUAGGAUGUUUCAAGGUUCCGAACUCGGGUCCACGAAUAUGUACACAUGGACCCGAUGAUUCAAUCGUAUGUCGAACUCACUGGUUUUGGACAUAUAAGCAAAAUAAUGUCUUGGUCGGUGGAUAAUAAAUUCAUUCUUGUGUUAUGUUAAAGAUGGCGUCCCGAGACACACACAUUCUGGUUUCCACCGGUGAGUGUACCAUGACGUUAAAAGACGUCUACAUGCUAUUGGGACUGUCUAUCGAAGGUAAAGCUGUAAAUGGUAAAACCAACUACGCGAAUUCAAUUUUCAUGGACCUCUUGGAUGCUGAUUUGUUAGAUGAUAACUCAAGAGGUCAAGGUAUACUCCUUUCAUGCCUUAAGGCAUACUAUAACAGCUUACAUUUAGAUUAGCAUUCUACCGAAGAGGCUCGAAUAAUAAAAACUAGGUGUUACAUUAUGUUUUUAAUUGAUUCUUUUUUAUUUCCCGAAGGUAGUGGUUCUAGUAUGCAUGUUAUGUAUUGACCUUUACUAAGACAUGUAGAUAGAAUAGGAAGUUACAGUUGGGGAUCCGCUUGUCUGGCCUAUCUUUAUAGCUCUUUGUGUAAAAAUUCACACAAAGAUACAUCUACCUUUUCUGGAUGUGCUGUUUUGCUCCAAGCAUGGGGUUGGUCAAGACUACCGUCCCUAGCGUCCGUCAACAACAACCCUUUCACAUUCCCGUAUGCACAAAAGUAAGUUGUUUAAAAUGGUCUAUAUUUACUUACUUUACCGAUUAUUAUCUCUAACUAAUAUUUUUACCUUUAUGGUGCAGAUGGUCGGCACGUGGUAUGAGUUAUAACAGAUGUCUGAGACAUUGUAUUACCCAGUAUCGCAAUCUCUUGGAUCACCUUCGACCGACAGAUGUAUGGAUAAUAACCUAAUUAUUUCGUAAUAAUUUAUUAAUUUCUUCUACCAAAUUUAUAAUCUAACAUACGUUCACAUUUCAGUUAAUUUGGUGUCCAUACCUAAAUUUGGAUCAUGACCAUGAAAUCAACGAAGAAGACGCAGCCGUUUGGACUGCAUGCACACCGAUCAUAAGAUUCACCACUGUGGAGAUGCACAACAGUGAUUGUGUUAAAUUGUAGUUUGGUAUGCUUCAACACAUCCUAGAUCCCCCAGCAAACCUAGGAGAAUGGCAUCUAUGCAAAGUUAACGACCAAUGGAACUUUAACCCAUGGAAAAGCUUCGCUAGAUCUGAGUGUCGCAAAUGGAAGCACCUCCAUGACCAUGUCUUAACUGCCUAUGUGAUGCCAACUGAAGAAAAACCAAGUCGUACUUAUAUGGCUUGAUACAGAUUGGUUGGUUUUGAGUUCAUUGCCGAGGAUAUGUACCUACACGACUCAUGCCAGGCAACAUACACACCAGAAGACUCAACAUCUAACCCCCAACAAGAUUGUCAGACCGGCUACACACAACCCCCUAUUCGUCAAACUUUCCGUUCCACAAACAUACAAACAUACAACCCUAAUCUGUCAUACACCCAACCACAAUACCAAGAGCAUACCUCGUGCCACCACCAACAACUAGAUCAUCAACCAGAGACUCAGCAUCGAUUCGCACCCAACACAUCACCCUACCAAAGCCACCUUAGCCAAAACACUCAACGAUCAUUUAACACCAAUCGUCCCUCCUCCUACCAAAGCCAAGAAGCCCAAACAUCUAAAAACUGAAACCUUCAACAACCCCAUGUCUACCAAACACCACAACAAUCUUUCCAACCUUUCCUCGACGCAUCAUUCAUACCAAUGUCUCCCUUCAAUCGUCUCGGUCUCCCUCCAACAAGUUAAACACAACCCAACUACUUUGGCAUGGGUCAUGAACUCAGCUAUGGUGGUACACCUUCGAUGCAUACACAAGACUACGCUAAUUUUUCUGACUAUCUCAACAGGCAAUCUCCUGUAGUUAGUAGUGAUGUUCCUGGUCCCUCAGAUGCUCAAACACCUGGGGUGAAUCAUCAACAUGGGUUAGGGCCACGGGUUCGGGUAGCUAGGGGAUGUGGUACCGGAGGUCAGUUAGGUGAUCUCUGCCAUCAACAUUAGUCUUUUUUGUGUAAACGGAAAUUAAUAUUAAUAUGAAUUGGUUUGAUUUUGAGUUUAUGUAUCAUGUAGACUUUUUUUGAAAAAAAAUUACAAAACACACAGAGGUGCCAAUGCAAUUGGUAUAACACCCCAUUUUCAAUUAUUCAAUUUUAUUGAAUUAUUUAGGAAUUAUGUGUAAGGUGUGUUUUGAUGGAUUGGGUCAAUUAAAAUAGUUAAGUGGUGUAUAAAUUAGUGGAAUUAUUUAGAGUUCUUUUAAUGAUUAAAGAAGAAGGUUAUUUGUUUAAUUAGGUGAAUAUAUAUUAGAAUAGUUAGCAUUUUAAUUAUUAUUAGAAAUAAAUAGAGAAAUUGAUAAAAAUAAGAAUUGGGUCAAUUGUGUGAAUUGAGGAAAGUUCGUGGUAAGAGGAGAUGAGCUAUAAUUAAUUUGGGCAAUAAUAAUAAUUAGGCAAAUGUAAGGAGGUUACUAUAUAUUCUAAAAGUUGGAAAAAUUAGGUUUUUAGAGAAACCAUUUGACAAUACGUAGAAUUGGAGAACAAAAUAGGAAAAUGCAAGGUUGACUAGAGGUAGAAGAAGAGGAAUUCAAGAGAGAAUUGCAUCACUUGCUAGGAAUUUAGGUAAGGGUGGGAAAUUAUUUCAAUAAUAAGGGUAUAUGCAUGAAGGGUAGGGUAGAAGAGUCCUCAAACUCCAAUAGGGCGUUUGAGAUUUUACUAAAUUAAGAAUUUUUAUGAUAUCUUCAUGUUAUAUAUUGUGAUUAUUGAUGAUUUUUGUGCACUAUGUGUAGCUGUAUUUUCUGUUUUGAAUGUUGGGAUAAUUUCACCAUUGUUGAGAGUUUCGAAGGUUUAUGAAAUUGAUAAAGUUAUGAAUUAUAUGAUUUAAUUGAUGCCAAUAUGUGAUAAAUCAUAAAUUUGAUGUUUUAAUCAUUGGAUAAGUGUUGGGUUUUGAAUUCUGAGAUCGGGACUUUUUACGGAAUCGAAAUUGGAGGUCCGGAAGGCCUCCAACGGAGAAAAAUAAGCUUUAAGGUUGUUCUUCGAACCUAUAAUCGGUUACCGGUCUGAGUGUAAUCGAUUACCACUUGAAAAAUAGGUUUUUUGGCUGUUUUCGAAGCUCGUAAUCGGUCACCGGUUUAGCGUAAUCAAUUACCACUGUUAAGUGAAAAUUUUAGAAAAUUGAAAAUGACGUAACUUGAGCUUCGUAGCUCCGUUUGACACGCGGUUCGAAGCGUUAGAAAGAUAACGCAUAGUACUAUCUCAUGAUGAUGCCUUAAGAGGAUGAAUAUGAUGUACUUAACAUUGAAUUAAUUGGUAAUGUGUUAUUGUUGUAGAUGCCUUAGUUGUUAUAUGGCAUUUGUUUAUGUGAAAGUUGCAAUUGUCGAUUUUUCGUGUUUUGUUGGUUAUUGGGUACUAUUAGCUGCCGUAUGAUGUUGCUUUGAUGUCAAUUGCUGAUUUAUCAUGAUUUUAAUCGGUAUGAUGUAGGGAUUGAUUAAUGAUGAAUAUAUGCCAAUGAUAAAUGAUUGAUUAAACAUGAAUAAUUGUUGUGUGAUAAUAAUGUUGUUAUAUCAAUGUUGCUAUAAUGAUGUUAUUAAUAUGAUUGUAUUGAUGUUGUUGUGUUGGUGUUUUAUGAUGACAAUAUGAACAUGAUAAAAUUAUGUUGAUAAUAUGGUGUUGAUGUUGGCAUACACGGUCAAGAGUGGAUUGAUGUGUAUGUGUUGAUGAUAUUGUUAUUGUUGCAUGUUGGGAGUCAUGCAUCCAUGUUGUCGGAAAUUUAGUUAUAUUUAAUUGGUGAGCCUCGAUCCUAUGGUGAUAGAUCGGGUGCGAGUAUCUAAUUCCUAUUAUGGGGGAUUAGUGAAGUGUUACCUAUGGUGAUGGUAGCGAUUUUGGCGUGCUCCGAUUCCAGGAGGGGAUCGAUCAUAUGGUGGGGAUCAUGGAGUGAAGUGAACCUGAGUGUUCAUAUUUGGUACCACAUACAUGUCGAGUCGGUGUUGAGUCCAUUGGAUAAGUGUUGCAUUUGUAUUGGUUGUGCAUGAUGUUGAUGAUAAUUGAGAAGUUGGUUUGUAUGAUGUUGAUGAUAAUUGAGAAGUUGUUGUGUAUGAUGUUAAUGAUGAUUUGGGUGUGAGAAUUACAAUAUGUUGUCGUGAAUGAUUAUGUUGAGUGCAAUCUAUCUUUCAUGUUAUGCCUUUUAUAAUUGAUUGUGAUUUCUCAUCCCUUCUGUUUGAAUGUUGCCUCUAGGUGGGCAUCAUGCAGAUAUCCAGGAGUAAACCCUAUUGAAGUAAGUGGAAGACAGCUUUGUAGUGACUUCCAUUAGUUGUCGUUAUGUAGUCGAAUUCUGCUCUGAUCAUGUAACAUCGGGUUGGGGUCGAAUGUUUGGAUUAAAUUAUAAUGUCUUAUGAUGAAUCAUAUUAUGUUUAAUAUUUUAAGUUGUUGAGUUGAACUAUUUACGACUCUUUAUGAUGUUUUUAAAAUUGAAGUUUAAGACUAAAUGUCGUAUGCUCUUCUACCUUCUUUGAAUGUUGAUGUUGAAUUAUGCUGCGAUGAUACCUAAAUGAAGGUGAGCAUGCGAUGACAGGUUAAUUUGUUAGUUGUAACCCGUGUUACGGGGCAGGAUAGCUUAUCUUUUAUGAAGUGUGACACCCUUGUAUUGGUGAUUAUUUAAUUAAUUUCAUUAAUUAUAUGUAGGGUUUAUAAGGGUGUUACAUUAGUGGUAUCAGAGCAGGUCGGUCCGUCCGGUCAGGUUGUUAAAUUUUGUUUGUUCUGUAGUAUGUGACAUAUGUGUGAGAACAUUGUCGAUGCUUGUUUUAUUUUCCAUUUGCAGGUUGGGAAGGAAACAAGUGGGGGAGAAGAGUAUGCUUGUCUUGGAUGUUCCAACUCUAUAGAGCUUGGACAUCAUGUUGUCGCAUGCCAGAGUGUAAUGUUGGCUAGUUGAGCUGUUUUGAGGAUGUUGUGCUUUUUCGGAACCCGGAGAGAGGUCAGAUUCGAGGAUGGUGUCGGUUAGCAAAAUGGUGUGAUCCUUGAGGGAAGACAACCAGGUUUUUUCGUUGGUUCCUUCCUUGUGGUGGGGAAGGUGAUGUUUUUGCUAGAGAUGUGCCAGUGGUUGUUGAGUAUCCCAACAUGUCCCAUGAGGAUGUGUAUGGUUUCUAUUUUGUUGGAACAAGUUGACAUUAUUCUUAGAAUGAAUUGGUUGGAGUUAAACCAAGUGGUUACCAAUUGUUUUGAUAAGUUGCUGCAGUAUGCCACUGAUUGUAAGAGCUCAUGUGAUGUUGAAGUUGUGUUGUUCCUAACAUUGAAGAUGAUGUGGAUUCGAGAUUCCUGUCUACUGGUCAAGUUGGGAAGUCUUUAGGGAAAAUGAUCAGGUAUUGUUGAUGUUGCUUCUCGGAGAGUAUAGAGCAAUGUGACGACUAGUAUUAUGUCAGUGGUGUGUGAUUCCUAAUGUUUUCUUGAAGAUAUCUACGAGUUGCCUCUAGAGAUUGAAUCUGAGUUUGAUGGAGGUGAAAAGUUUACGUUUGUAUCAGCUAAGCAAGUGAGAGAGUAUGUGAAGGAUAUGGCACAAGUGAUUGUGAUGUUAGCUUCAUUAGAAGCUAAAGGAAAGGUAAUAGUUCAUGAUCUUCCUGGAGUGUGUGAAUUUCUUGAAGUGUUUCCUGGAGACAUCAGUGAUUUACCUCCAGAACGUGAAGUAGAGUUUGUCAUCGACUUAGUACCAGGUACGAGUCCGGUGUCAAUGGCUUCUUAUAGAAUGUCAGCUUCAGAGUUGGGUGACUUGAAGAAACAGUUGGAAGAAUUUCUUGAGAAGAAGUUUGUUCAACCAAGUGUUUCUCCGUGGGGUUCACCUGUGUGACUAGUUAAGAAGAAUGAUGGAAGUAGGAGAUUAUGUGUUGACUACAGGAAGUUGAAUAAAGUGACUAUCAAGAAUAAGUAUCCAUUUCCAAGAAUUAAUGAUUUGAUAGAUCAGUUGGUUGGUGCUUGUAUUUUCAGCAAGAUAGACUUGAGGUCUGGUUAUCAUCAUAUUCGUGUUAAACUAGUUGAUAUUCCAAAUAUAGCAUUUAGGACAAGAUAUGGUCACUAUGAGUAUAUUGUAAUAUCGUUUGGAGUACCUAAUAUGCGAUGCGUGUUCAUGGAGUAUGUGAAUCAAAUAUUUCAUCCAUAUUUAGAUGAGUUUGUGGUGGUCUUUAUCGAUGACAUUUUGAUAUAUUCGAAGUAUGAUAAGGAACAUGUUGAACAUCUGAAGAUUGUGUUGUAGGCGUUGAGAAAGAAGAAGCUUUAUGCCAAGCUAUCCAAGUGUGAGUUUUGGUUGGAGGAAGUGAGUUCCUUGGCCAUGUGAUUUCAAGUGGUGGAAUACCUGUAGAUCCUUCUAAGGUUGAUGUUGUAUUGCAGUGGGAGACUCCGAAGUCUGCUACUGAGAUUCGAAGUUUCCUUGUCCUAAUUGUUUUUUAUUGCAGGUUUGUAGAAGGCUUCUCAAAGUUAGCACUGCCUUUUACUCAGUUGACUUGAAAGGGUUAAGCUUAUGUGUUGGAUGUUGCAUGUGAAGAAAGUUUUGUUGAACUCAAGAAGAAGUUGGACGUUUUCUCACGUUUUGAUUUUGUCGAAUCCAAGUGAGUCCUUUGUUGUAUAUUAUGAUGCUUCGAAGAUGGGUCUGGGGGGUGUUGAUGCAUAAUGGUCAGGUUGUGGCUUAUGCUUCGAGGUAGUUGAAAGUUCAUGUGAGGAAUUAUCCUACGCAUGGUAUGGAGUUAGCAGUUGUGGCUUUUGUGUUGAAAAUUUGGAGACAUUAUCUUUUUGGUUCUAGAAUUGAGGUGUUCAAUGAUCACAAGAGCCUGAAGUACCUAUUAGAUCAGAAAGAAUUGAACAUGAGGUAGAGAAGAUGGCUUGAACUUCUGAAGGAUUAUGUUACCAUCCUGGUAAGGCUAAUGUUGUAGCUUAUGCAUUGAGUAUGAAGUAUUUGCACACGUCAAUGCUUAUGGUUUGAGAGUUGGGAUUGAUUGAGAAAUUCAGAGAUAUGAGUUUAGUAUGUGAAGAAACUCCUAACAGUGUGAAGUUGGGUAUGUUGAAACUGAUCAAUAGUAUUCUUGACGAGAUCAGAAAAGGACAGAAGAUCGACUUGGGAUUGAUUAACUGGUUAGUGUUGAUUAAUCGAGGUGAAGGCGGUGACUUCAAGAUUGACGAGAAUG